rnacentral:lncRNA from 1 species
AGACUUACCUGGACAAUUUAACAGAAGCUUUAUACCAUGAAUACUCUUCCAAAGGAAUUUUUAUACAAAGCCUGACCCCUUUUUUUGUGGUUACAAACAUGAUAAGCCCAAUGUGUACAUUUUUUAAGAGAAAGUCUAUACUGGUUCCUCUGGCUAAAGACACUGCCUAUCAAGCUGUAAGGACCAUAGGACUAUGCCGAAGGACAACAGGAUCCUCUGUUCACUCCCUCCAGGUAAGGAGAAGUGGAAGAAAAGUGAAAAAUGACAGACAUUCAGAAGAACAGUUUAGGUAAGGGCUUGGCAAAAGGUAGAUUCUAGAUGUUGUAAAACUGCAACUGCCAUGAUGCUUGCCAGUCUUUACACUGUAAAAACAUCAUGGAAGUUGCCGUUUUACCACAUCUGGGCAAUUAGCGUUUGUGCACCCUUGGUUUAGAUCAUAUGCACAUACAGUGACUAAAUAAUGCAUCCCCGGCCCAUGCGUUGUAACUGCCUGGGCCGCAUUGAAGGGGCCCAUCGGGUGGCCCAUGCUAUGUAUUUCCAGGGGGCCUGGUCAGCUCUUUAACAGCGCGACCGUGCCCCCUCUGAUGAUGUCAGAAGCUGGGAGGAAGUGACUGCCCCGGUCACUUCCUCCCAGCAACCACCGGGAGCCAGGAGAGGAAUGAGUCAGAGUGGGAACUCUGACUCCCAUGAUACUGAGCCACUGGACCCCAGGGAAUAGUAUGUGUGUCUGUAUGAAACUCUGUAUGUAUGUAUGUCUGUGUGUGUGUGUGUGUGUGUCUGUAUGUAUGUGCAUUUAUGUCGGUCUGUGUGUGUGUCUGUAUUUAUGUACGUGUGUGUAUAUGUCUGUGUGUGUCUGUAUGUAUGUCUGUCUGUGUUUGUCUGUCUGUAUGUGUGUCUGUUUGUAUGUAUGUAUGUGUAUGUGUACUUGUAUGUAUGUGUGUGCGCCUGUAUGUGUGGGUCUGUGUGUGUCUCUGUAUAUGUGUGUGUGUCUACAUGUGUAUCUGUUUGCAUGUGUGGGAGGAGGGGGGUACGUAUGGGAGGGGCACUGUAGACGUAUGGGGGAGGGUUGCGGGGGGGUAGACGUUUAGGGGUGGCCCCAGGUCAAUUUUCGCACAGGGCCCCGUGGUUAUGCCUCUGUGCACAUAACAGAGAAUAUACACUCAUCAGCUCUGAAUAUGUGUGUGUGUAUUCAUGUGUAUCUGUUUGCAUGUGUGGGAGGAGGGGGGUAUGUAUGGAAGGGGCACUGUAGACAUAUGGGGGAGGGUAGAUGUAUAGGGGUGGCCCCAGCUCAAUUUUCGCACCUGGCCCCAUGGUUUCUAGUUACACCUCUGUGCACAUAACAGAGAAUAUGCACUGAUCAGCCACAACAUUAAACCUGUCACACCUCUGGCUGCCACGCAGCAAUUUCAGUCUCAGGUGUGAGUUGACUGGGGGUCCAUGCCUCUUCUGACUGUUCUCCAGUUCCGGCAACAAGACACGCUCCUUACGUCGCAGGGUUGCCAGGUAACAAUGGAAACCCUACGUGUAGUGCAGGCAUCCUUAAAGUUACAGGACCCUACAAAACACUACAUUUUUAUUAUAAAAAUUGUAAGGGUAAUAAUUAGUGGACACUUCUUUUCCCUUUCCAAGUCACAACCCCUUGUGUGAUUUGGAACAUGGUGAUGAUGCUGUCCAAUAGUGUUUAGGUUCACCCUAUAUAUAUUUUCCUCUUCCUAUUUUUGCAAAGCUUGUUUCUUUUGCUUGGAUAUCUAUGCUAUUUUUGAAGAGAACAUGUCAUCUGUAUAAUAUAUUAUGACUGCUUGAACCCUCAAGUACCUAUGAGGGCUGUCAUGACAAUGUUGAGGUGUCUGUUGUCUGAGAUGGCGUUCUGAGAUAAUUUGCAUUCCUGUUACUGACCCAGCUUUGUUCUAGCUAUUCUGUUUAUCUGGUAUCAUUGAUUCUCUGUGUGUUAGAGUCACCCUAUCCUGACAAAAAACACUGACAGGCGAAGUGAAAAAGAUUGAUUAUACUCACCAAUAUGGAUACCACACUCUCCUGGGUCCCAGGACGCAACCGGGCCUGAGAUUGGCCAUUCCUCACAAUGUGAUUUGGCUUGACAAAGGCCCUGAGCCGUUGUUUCAAUUUUGCUCCAAUAAAUCUGACCAUUGGAUUGUACUUGAGUGCCUGGAUCAUCAUUACUUUUUGGAUUAUAAAGGCAUCUGUAAAGCUGCAGUAGAUAUUAGGCAACAAGUGAACAGUCAACUCUUGAAUUUCAUGUGUUGGAAGCAGGAAAAAUGGACAAGUGAAAAGCUCUGAGUGACUUUUACAAGAGCAAAAUAUUAAUGGGUAGAUGACUGGGUUAGAGCAUUUCCAAAAUGGCAAGUCUUGUGGGGUGUUCCCGAUAUGCAGUAGUAAGUACCUACCAAAAGUGGUGCAAGGAAGGACAACCAGCAUCAGAGCCAUGGGCAUCAAAGCUUCCCUGAGGCACGUUGGGAGUGAAGUCUAGCCUGUUUGGUCCAAUCACACAGAAACCUCACUGUAGGUCACUUUGCUGAAAAACUUAAUGUUUACCAUGAUAGAAAGGAGUCAGAACACACAGGCCGGUCAGAGUGCCCAUGACAACCACCGACCAUACCUUCAAUGAGGACGUGAAUGUCAGAACUGGACCACGGAGCAAGGUUACCUGGUUUCAUGAAUCACGUUUUCUUUUAGAUAAGGAUGGCUGGGUGAGUGUGCAUUGUUUGCCUGGGAAAGAGAUGGCAGCAGGAUGCACUAUGGGAAGAAGGAAGGCUGUCAGUGGGAUUGUAAUGCUCUGGGCAAGGUUCUGCUGGGAAACCUUGGAUCAUGGCACUUAUGUGGAUGUUAUUUCGACACGUACCACCUAUCUAGAGAUUUUUAGACCACUCCAUGACAAUGGUGUUCCAUAAUGGCAGUGGUCUUUUUCAGCAAGAUAAUGCACCUGUACACUGCAAAGUGUUGGCUUUGCCUCCAGAUUCCCCAGAUCUCAAUUCGAUUGAGCAUCUGUGGGAUGUGCUGAAACAACAAAUCCAAUCCAUGGAGGCCCCACCUCACAAUUUGUAGGACUUAGGAAUUAAAUUGAUCUGCUGCUAAUAUUUUGGUGACAGAUACCACAAGACACAAGUCCACACCUCGACACAUUAGAGCUAUUUUGGAUAUUAGACAGGUUGUUUUCAUUUUGUGACUGAUCAGUGUAAGGAUAUGAAGAAAUUGUGUGAGAAUUAACUCAUAGACAGGACUCCUGUCUAAGCUCCAUGUGCAUUUCAUGGUGUCCACAAUUAGUUGAUCGGAUAUAGCCCAGGAAUUAUGUAAUAUAUGAAUUUCAAUUAAGAAAUAACUUGUUUUCUGUCUAAAUGUUUUAAAUCGGCAUAGUUAUGCAGUCCUAGGAAGUUAAUUGGUGCAUGGGGGCUGUGAAAUUGAAUGUUGAUUAUGAAUUGGAGUCUUGGUUUGUAGAGUUCCAAGCAGUAGAGGAAUGCAAUCAGUGGCACCUUCCGCUGGAAAAGUAGUCUGCUGGAGGAUUAAGGGGCUUGUACUUGUGUAUGAAGUGCUUUGCAGAGGAGGUACAGGGCCCCCUUUAGGAUUUAGGGUGCCUUCUAUUCAACACACAAUGCAAUCUUUCAUGAUACACUCACCCAGUAUCCACAGUACUCCCCAGUACCUUGAAGAAUAAAUAUAAAGUAACAUAUAUUAAACAGUCACUAUUUGAAAAACAAGGACAUUUAACUUUAUUUCAUUUAAAGAGGAACUGUGACUUUCCAGGAUUUUUUAAAAUGCUUACUUAUCCCCUAUUUUAAACAAAUGUGUGUUUGUGAGAUCUGAAAUAUAGAAUUAAAUGUAGACAUGUACACUUACUUUAUCCUGCAAUGGAAUAUGAGAAAUAAAACCAUGUUUCAUUUUGUCCUUCUCAUUUUCAGUGUUUUACCCUGUCUGGUCUGAAUUAUAGGGACACUAGAAUCACAAAAACAACGUUAGCUUUAUGAGGCAGUUUUAGUGUAUAGACCAUGCUUCUGCAGUCUCACUACUCCAUUUUCAUUUAGGAGUAAAAUCACAUUGUUUCUCAUUUUGUAAUCCAAUACUUUCCAAAGGGAAAGUUUGAAGAUGCGUGCGGCACUCACCGCGCAGGCACAUUAGGUUUAUAUUCCUGACAUCAUAGGAAAUCCAACUCUGUAUCUACAGUGUUAGAAAGUCUCGUUUGGAAAGAAAUGUAGAAGAUAGAAACAAAUUAUGUACAACAAAGUGACCUAUAGUUACCUUGGAUAGAAUAUAAAAAUAAAAACCUAUCCUAAUGAUAUCAAGUGACGAAUUGUGACAAACUGCCCGAGAUGGGGGAUUCUAUGCACAUCACCGUAAUCUUAGUUAUGUUUUUGUUUUCUUAUUUGUCCUUGUCACAUAUUCACACACUACGGGAUCUCUGUUAUUUUAAUGUAGUUCAAUGUCCUGUAAAAAUAUGUAAAAAAAAAAAAAACCUAACAAACUAAUAAAUACAUUUUAAGCAAAAGAUUAAAAAGGAUUCAUCACCCUACUAAAUAAUCUUUAUUUAUGUAGUGUUUGUAGAGAGAUUACCAGUUGCAUUUACAAAGAGAAAAGUGGGUGAAUUAAUUACCACAAAAAUAGUAGUACACAGUGUGUCACUUCUAUCAUGUGUUCUAUAUUAAAUUAAAAGCUUUUAAGUAGCUGGAGUGUGUUAUUAUAAUCUCCUUAUGAUCUUAAAGCUAGCCCAUAUAUUGAAUAUCUCUUUGAGAUAGAUAAAUUGUGCUGGGACAUACAAAAUCUCACCUAUAAUUUCCUUAUAGCAACACCAGGUCAUGAUCAACUAGGUAUCAAUGUACAUAUGUCACAGAUAUAAGCUCAGGGUAAUCUAAGAUCAAAAUGUGAAGAAACAGAGGAAAUAUCAAGAAAUACCUCUGCGUCCAGGUCUAAACCUGGGACCUACUCAAACACAGGAUGUAUCCCGUCCCGCCUCCUUGGCUGAGAUCAUCAGAAUGGACUAUCAUAAACAACGCAAAGUUUUCCUAUGGGAAAGCAUUUUGAUUGGCUAAGAUCGUCAAUUCUGAUGAUAUCAGUCAAGGAAGCGUAUCAAGGCAAAGCCAGCAGCAGUGGACUAGUGCGGCACUGAAAAUAAAGUGAGUUUACACUAUAUUUAGGGGAAUAAGGGGGCUAAAUAGUGUUUUUAGAAGUAUAGGUCCAGGAAUACACAUUUGUGUUCCUGAGCCUAUAGUGUUCCUUUAAAUGAAAAGCUUCUAAGUAGCUAGAGUAUGUUAAUAUAUUUUCCUUAUGAUCUUAAAGCUAGACCAUAUCCCGUGUAUCCAUAAUCAAAUAACAUCACAGGCACCUCUGUCUCCAGAUAUAUUGCCAGAGACCUAUGGAAUAGAGUUGAGCGAACCCGGUCUGUAAAGUUCAGGUUCAUACCGAACAUUACGGUUUUUGGACCCUGGACCCGAACACGGACAUAUCACUGUAUGUUCGGGUUGGAGUUCAGAGUUCGGCAAUUUAAUGGAGCAUUUUUUAAAGGCUGCAGGGCAGCCAAUCAACAAUCGUUUGACAUGUGUGCCCUUAGAAGCCAUCACAGCCAUGCCUACCAGGGCUGACACAGCUCAAGGUCUGGGCCCCCCGGUGGCUGGACCCGAGUCCGCCCAAAGUGCUGCCCCCCCUUGAGUCUGCCCACAGGGAUGCAGUGUCUGUACUGAUUCUGGUGUGUGUAUAUUGGAUGUAGAAUGUGUGUAGUGGAUGCAGAGUUCGUGUGUAAAGUGGAUGCGGUGUGUGUUUAACAGAUGCAGUGUGUAUAGUGGAUGCAGAUUGUACAUAAUGAAUUGUGUAAUGUGUUAGGUGUAUAUUAGAUGCAGAGUAUAUGUUUGUGCAGUGGAUGUAGUGUGUGUUUAUAGUGAAUGCAGAGUGUGUGUGUGUUUGUGUAGUGGAUGUUGUGUUUGUGUGUAUUAAAUGCGAUGUGUAUAGUGAAUGCAGAGUGUGUGUGUUGUGUAGUGGAUGUAGUGUGUGUGUAGUGAAUGCAGAGUGUGUGUAGUGGAUGUAGUGUUUAGUGAAUACAGUAUGUGGAUGCAGUGUGUGUGUGUGUAUUGUGAAUGCAGAGUGUGUCUUUGUGUAGUCGAUGUAGUGUGUGUGUAUAUUGACUAGACAUAGGCGUGCGCACGGGGUGUGCCGGGAGUGCCUGGGCACACCCUAAUGCCCGCGGCACGCCUAUGUAUAUUGAGACCGGCAGGGGAGAUCUCAGGAUCUCAGGAUCUCCCCUGUCGGCUCAUGCAGAGCCGGCGCUAUCCGAGCGCCGGCUCUGCUCUCAGCCUCCCUCCCCACUGACCCACAUGCAGGGAGGGAGACAGGAGAGGACCCGGCGGAGCUCUUGCCGGCAGCUCCGCCGGGUUCCUCUUGCGAGAUAUGAGCGUUGCCACGGCAACGCUCAAAUCUCGCGAGAGUGAACUCUAGCCCCACAGGGGGCUAGAGUUCACUCUCCACUGGACCACCAGGGAUCACAGCAGCAAGGAUCCCCUCCUCCACUGGACCACCAGGGAAGGAAGCAGCAGCACGAUCCCCCCUCCCUACAAAAGGUAAGAAGGGAGGGGGGAUAGCAAAUAAUGUACCCCCACCUCCACCCCCCACAAUCACCCACCCACACACAUACAACACACACACAUACAGCACACACACAUUCAGCACCCACAGACAUACACAGCACACACAUUCAGCACCCACAGACAUACACAGCACCCACACACACAGCACCCAGCACCCACACACAUACAGCACCCACAGACAUACAGCACCCACAGACAUACACAGCACCCACACACAUACAGCACCCACACACAUACAGCACACACACACAUACAGCACACACACAUACAGCACACACACAGCACACACACAUACAGCACCCACACACAUUCAGCACCCACAGACAUACACAGCACCCACACACAGCACCCACAGACAUACAGCACCCACACACAUACACAGCACCCACACACAUUCAGCACCCACAGACAUUCAGCACCCACAUACAUUCAGCACCCACAGACAUACAGCACCCACAAACAUACACAGCACCCACAGACAUACACAGCACGCACCCAUACACAGCACCCACAGACAUACACAGCACCCACACACAUACAGCACCCACAGACACACACAGCACCCACAGACACACACAGCACCCACAGACAUACACAACACCAACACACAUACAGCACCCACACACACAUACAGCACCCUCACACACAGCACACAAACAGCACCCUCACACACACACAGCACACUAACAGUACCCUCACAAACACAAACAGGACCCUAACAAACACACAUACAGCACACUACCAGUAUCCUCACACACAAACAGCACCCUCACACACAGUACAUUAACAGCAUCCUCACAAGCACGCACACACAAACACCCUCCCCCACAUAGCACACUACCAGCAUCGUCACACACACAUCACACUAACAGCACCCUCACACAGCACACACACACACACAGCAGUGUGUGUAUGUGUGUGUAUAUAUAUAUGCGGCGUGUGCUUGUGCUUUAGGGUGCACACCCUAAUGCAAUAGGAUGCGCACGCCUAUGUGACUAGAUAGUGUGUUUGUGUAAGUAUUUAAUGUGUGUAUAGUGACUGCAGACUGUGUGUUUGUUUGUGUAGGGAAUGUAGUGUGUGUAGUGACUGCAAAGUGUGUGUGUAUGUACUGCAUAGUGUGGCUUUGUGUUACGAAGUAGUGUGUGCAGUGUUUGCAGAGUGUGUGUUUGUGUAGUGGAUGUAGAGUGUGUAGUGACUGCAGAGUGUGUGUGUGUGUUUGUGUAGUGACUGCAGAGUGUGUGUUUGUGUUAGGAAGUAGUGUGUGUAGUGACUGCAGAGUGUGUUUGUGUAGUGGAUGUAGUGUGUGUAGUGACUGCAGAGUGUGUGUUUGUGUAAUGAUGUUGUGUGUAAAUUUUAGUGAAUAGUGUGUGUAAAUGUUAGUGAAUAGUGUGUGUGUGUGUAAAUGUUAGUAUAUAGUGUGUGUGUGUGUGUCUGUGUGUGUAAAUGUUAGUGUAUAGCGUGUGUGUGUGUAAAUGUUAGUGAAUAGUGUGUGUGUAAAUGUUAGUGUAUAGUGUGUAAAUGUUAGUGCAUAGUGUGUGUGUGUAAAUGUUAUUGUAUAGUGUGUGUAAAUGUUAGUGUAUUGUGUGUGUAAAUGUUAGUGACUAGUGUGUGUAAAUGUUAGCGUAUAAUGUGUGUGUGUAAAUGUUAGUGAAUAGUGUGUGUGUGUGUAAAUGUUAGUGCAUAGUGUGUGUAAAUGUAUGGGGCUGCAAAAUGUAGGGGGAAAAGCCUACACUGAGCAGUCCGGGCCCCCCAGGACCGCCGGGCCCAUGACAACCGUUAUGGUUGUCAUGCCCUGAUGGUGGCCCUGAUGCCUACUAAUGGCAUGGCUGUGAUUGGCCAGUGCAGCACGUGACCCAGCCUCUAUAUAUAAGAUGGAGUUGCGUAGCGCCGCACGCAUUUAAGCUCUUAUUAGUGUAGGGACAGGAUGCUGCCGCUUUCAGGGACAGCUAAGGAAAGAAUUCUGCAAACUAGUACAUUAGUGGGGUGCAUUUCAUAUCUGAGAGUCAAAUAGAAUCGUCAAAUACUGCUGUCACAUUGCAGUUUUAAAACUUAAAAUUUUUGGGGUGCUAAAAAGUACAUUAGUGGGGUGCACUUCAUAUCUGAGAGUCAAAUAAAAGCGUCAAAUACUGCUGUCACAUUGCAGUAUUAAAACUUAAAAAUGUUUGGGUGCUAAACUGCUAAAUAGUAUUUUAGUGGGGUGUCCUUCAUAUCUGAGAGUUAAAUAAAAGCGUCAAAUACUGCUGUCACAUUGCAGUAUUAAAACUUAAAAAUGUUUGAUGGGGCGUGGCCUGGAGAUCAAUCGCGGCGGUCGCAUGCUGCAGUAGCUCCGGCUACACAGGCCUUUAUAUUAGCACCACAAACCCACAAACCCACCAAGUACCUGCAACAAUGUCCAAACAGAAGGGCAGACGGCACACCGACAAGGGAGACGGGACGAGCUUCUUCACCGCCCGCACGGCACGGCAAAAAAUGGCGGGAACUCAAGAGGAGGCCCAAGAUGGCCCAAGAUGGCGACGAUCCUGCCGAUAUCCCAUCCCCAGCCACAGAAGAUGCCCCAGUAACUACAAAGGAUGCUGGACACCAUGCAUGCCAAGCUGCAAAUCACUCUCCAGACUUCCCUGAAAGACAUAAGGUCAGACAUCCGGGAGCUGGGGGAACGCACUUCCACACUGGAAGAAAAAAUGGCGGACCACGCCGAAGCAUACAAUGACAUGAGAGCCACCAUGGAAGACAUACAAAACAAUAUGGCAACCUUUGAAGCCAAAAUUGCCGACAUAGAGGACGCAAUAACCUCAGAUUGAGAGGGAUAGCGGAAUCCGUUGGGACGGUGGACCUGCAUGCCCACCUACAGGGCCUAUUCAAAGCCCUGGUACCGGACGUACACCAAGACAUGUUGCUGCUAGACCGCUACCACCGCAUGCCUAAACCGCGAUUCCUAACCACAGAUACACCGAGAGACGUGCUGGUGCGGCUACAUUACUUCCACACCAAAGAAAACAUCAUGAGAGCAAGCAGGCAACGUCCAAACCUACCACCUCCAUACCAAGGAACGGCGAUAUAUGCAGACAUCUCAGUGGCGACAAGAAAAACCUUCGCUGGCAUCACAGAACAACUGAGAAUAGACAAGAAACCCUACAGAUGGGGAUUCCCAGUCAAGCUCUUAAUCACCAAUGAAGGGAAAACUACCACCAUUAUGACCCCGGAGGCCGGAGAGCGGGCCCUCAGAGACUGGGGCCUACCGCCGCCACGGGACCAACACAGCGCAACAGAAAGAGACAGGCUCAAUCCGUCGUGGAAGAGAGUCUCUAAGAACUGACUGAGAGAACCCACAUGGGUCACAAGCAGUGGCAAGUACCACACAAACUGUUUUGGGGACUGAUAUAAUAACGGGGGGAACAGCUUACGCAGGGUCAGGGGUUAACGAGGGCAUCCCACCCAAACCCCAACACACAGACAGCCACGCUACACGGAAUGACUGAGGUGGCAAGACUGUAAACAGAGGCCCAAUGCCAGGCACAGAAGGCCUAAGAUAGGGGCAAACUCAACACCAUAACGAGCAAAAUACAAGUCCAACAGACUGAAUCGCACAGGCAUGGAAGCACACCACUUCCUCCCCCACUGGGGAUCACACGGCACUAUGUUUUACCAUUCAUGUUUUAGUUACCAUGUUUAAACUGUUUAAAUUUUUUGUUUUCUAUGUUUCACAUUGUAUGAUUACCAUGCCAAGGUUCCGCCAGGCAAUACGGCGAGCGUACAUACAGAGAAUUGAAAACCAGGUCCACCAGGGAGACACCACCCAAGUUGAGUAAGCUGGGAAGGGGGGUACUCCCGCAAACAAGAAAGAUGACGAUACAGCCAACCGAAACCCCAAGGUACAACCCACCAUGAAAAUAUACACACACAACACAAAAGGCCUUAACCACCCAUCUAAAAGGAAUCUGCUCCGCAGAGACCUUAACUGACACAAACCGGCAGUAGUGUGCCUCCAGGAAACCCACUUUAAGACAAACGCACAUGCACCACUAUUCUUGCAAGACUAUCCCUACCAAUACCACGCCACACACACAAGCAAAUCGAAAGGGGCCUCCAUACUCAUUAGCAAGGACAUAGCAUUUACCCUCACCCACCUAGAGAUAGACGAAGGGGGGAGAUAUGUAAUAGUGGUAGGAACAUUCAACAAUGUGGAAUACACGAUAACAAACAUAUAUGUUCCAAACCAGGAGCAAAGGAACUUUAUACACAAAAUCAUCAAAAAAGUAGACACGGCACAAAGGGGAAUAGGAAUCAUAUGUGGAGACAUCAACCACGUAAUGGACCCCACAAUAGACACCACAAUAGCCCCCAACGCUCCAAGAAUGAAACCACUCAGGAGACAGAGCAAGGCAAUACGCAAACUACUUCACGAAAACCACUACUAUGACAUGGAGGGCAACACAUGUGGCACACAAUACCUAUUCUAGGAUAGACAGUAUACUGUAAAAAGGCCAACACUUAGAACAGGUUAAAGACUGCUCCAUAGAACAGAUCACUUGGUCAGAUCACGCCCCAGUAGUAGCGACCCUAGCUGACCUAUACGAAUCCUCUCACAGGAGCCCAUGGAGGCUUAACGAGUCCCUCAUCGCAGACCCAGAAUUCACAAAAACGGUAGAAAAAGAAUUAACACACUACUUAAUUGAAAACAACACAGAACACAUCCCCCAUAACACAAUAUGGCAGGCCCACAAAUCGGUGAUCAGGAGGACGCUAAUAAAGAGAGCAGCCUUCCUAAAAAGAAAAGCACAAAAACAAAUGAGAGAGUGGCAAAAAGAACUCCAGGACCUCACAAAUCAGAACCAAUCUACCCCAACACAAGAACUAAAAACCUGCAUCAUGGGAAUAACACGAGAAAUACACAAACAAGCCUUAGAACAGACUGGCCACUACUUAUGUAAGCUUAAAGCGACCCAUUACUCACAAGGAAACAAGGCAAGCAAACUAGUAGCGCAACGCCUCAAAGCGACACAAAUAAAACACAAGAUAGCAUACCUCACCACGGAAGCAGGACACAAAGUAACAGCACCCAGGGACAUAAGCAACAAUUUCGCUAAAUAUUACACUUCUCUAUACAACCUAGCGGACGACCCACACACACAUCAACCACAAACACAGGACAUAAAAACCUAUCUAGACACAAUACAACUACCCACUUUCACAACUCAACACCAACAAGCACUAAAUGCCACAAUAACACAAGAAGAGGUAACAACAGCCAUCCUCGGCCUGCUGUCGGGCAAAUCCCUAGGCCCGGACGGCUUCGCCAACGGUUACUACAAAAAAUGUCAUAACAUCCUAGCACCGCACCUAACGAACGCCUUCAAUGAAGCCACCCGCCUCCAAAAACUACCCGCCGAGACACUGCUGGCACACAUUAUCACACCCACAUGCCCACAAAACUUCCGCCCCAUAUCCCUAUUGAACACAGAUGCCAAGCUUUACGCGAAAAUCUAUGCGCAAAGACUGGGCUCCUUAUUACCACACAUUAUACACACAGACCAAGUAGGGUUCAUCAAAAAUAGGCAAGGAGGCGACAACACUAGGAAAGUCAUGAAUAUCAUACACAGCGCCCAACGCAUGAAGGUGGGGAGUGUGCUGUUGUCGCUGGAUGCGGAGAAGGCCUUUGACCGGCUGGGCUGGGAGUUCCUGGAACAAGUCCUUCGAAAAUUCGAGGCACCAGAGGGCUUCCUCUCAGCGGUCAGGGCACUAUAUAGCGCUCCCACCGCACAGGUCUUAAACGCGGGAUUCGUAUCGGAGCCCCUCACCAUAACCAAUGGCUCUCGCCAGGGGUGCCCCCUCUCACCACUACUAUAUGUGAUGGCCUUGGAGCCGCUGGCGGCGGCCAUACGGCAAAACACAUCCAUCCAUGGAGUGGCAAUAGGGGACAAGGAAUACAAGGCGAACUUAUUCGUCGACGACAUCCUGCUAACCCUUACCCAACCACACAUGUCUCUACCAAAUUUGAUGGCCACUAUAACGGAAUACGGAAAACACUCAUACUACAAGCUAAACAUAAACAAGACACAAGCCAUAGGCGUGGGGAUCCGGGAAGACACAUUAGAGAGGCUCAAAGCCACUUUCCCCUUUGAUUGGAGGUCUGACCACUUGACGUUUUUGGGCAUAAAAAUCCCACCGAAUCUAAGCAAACUCCUAGACAAAAACUACAUAGCGCUCAUGAAAGAGAUUGCCACCACACUGGAAUCCUGGACAGGGAAGUACCUAUCCUGGGUGGGGCGACUGUCGGCGAUCAAAAUGAUGCUGCUACCUAAGCUCCAAUACUUACUACGCACCCUCCCGAUACAACUGCCAAAAACGUACAUAUCCUCCAUGCAGAGACUGUUUAACCGCUUUGUAUGGGCUAAUAAGAGACCUAGGGUAGCUUCAGGGAUCCUACAACAAUCGGUCAUGAGGGGGGGACUAGGCCUACCAUGCAUAAAGACAUACUAUAGAGCAGCCCAAUUAACAGUAAUCAAAACAGCCACAGCGGAGGGGGAACCAUUACAAUGGGCCCAGAUAGAAGCACACUGGGCAAACAAACAAACAAUAUGGGACCUCUUCUGGCUCCCAGGAUCCCUACGUCCUAAACUUUUCCAACCCCUACCAACCACAGCCCUAACCCUAAAACACUGGGAAGAGCAGAAAGCUGGGGGGAGAGACCACGGAGCCAUAAAAGGACAAGCCCCAAUCUCAUGCCUGGCGGUGGGCAUCCCUUCCCUUGACGUCAAAAUGUGGAAGGAAGGGGGCUGCACCACGAUCAGCCACUUAUAUAGAGACAAUAGCCUGAUACCCUUCCUAGAACUCCAAACCCAAUAUAACCUGCCCAGCAAGGCACUGUUCCCCUACCUACAAAUCAAAUCCCUACUCGCAGGAAUCAAACUACAACAAGAUGAGCCUUUAACAACACAUAAGGUAGAAAACCUCUGCCUAACAGACAGGCCCCCGAAGAAAAUACUCUCAACACUAUACACGGCCCUAAUGGAGGAUCAGGCAGAGAUCGAAAAGAGUUUCCAAAAAGCAUGGCACACGGAACUGGGGAAAACACUGGGAACAGAUGUAUGGAAGCGGGCCUUCGCAAUACAUAAGGGAAACACACGGUGCACCACACACCUAGAAACCAUACGAAAGCUACAAUACAGAUGGUACAUGGUGCCAGAAAAAUUAACAACAAUAUACCCCAACACACCCAGUAUAUGCUGGAGGUGUGGAGACACGGAGGGCUCCAUGAGCCACAUAUGGUGGUCAUGCACAAAAAUUAGGCAAUACUGGGGGGAGGUGGGAAAAAUUGCAGAAGACAUAUUAGAUAGACCAUGGCCUCUAACUAUAGAACAAAGCAUAUUAUUCAUGCUACCAGCCGCAAUAAGUAAAACUGAGGAAAAGCUUAUAUUUCACCUGCUCAUAGCAGCAGUAACACUCAUGGCGCGGGCAUGGAAGUCCCCAACAGCGCCUACAAAAGAGGCUCUCCUAGAUCAAAUCUCCCUAAACUGGAAAUAUGAGCUGAUGGCAAACAAACACUUAGGAACGCAAAAACAUACGGAAACAGCAGGGAGGCGUUGUCAGGAGUACAUACAAGAACAAUAAGCUCACCUUAAAACCACCAAGAGAGAGCGACACCACCAGGAAGGGGGGAGUGAAGGCCCAACAAGAGAAAACCCACGGCAACCAGCAAAAAAACAACACCAGAGCAGGGCCACAUAACAGAGCAACUAACACGACAGGGCAAUCAAAGCAACACAAGUAAGAAGAAACGAGCCCCAAGAGGGCAACACGUGAUACAAAAGAGUGAAGGGGGGAAAAUCACCUGGGAAAAAGAGGGAAGCGAAGGGGGGACGAACUCUGAGGGAACCUAUCAAUGUACUGUACAAACCCUAUGCUGUAACAAAAUGUCCCUGCACUAUCCCGUUAUAUUCUGUACCCUGGCGAGCAGGCGCCAAAAAGCUAACCAAUGUGAAACAUCAAUAAACAUAUUUUCAAAUUGAAAAAAAAAAAAACUUAAAAAUGUUUGGGUGCUAAGCUGCUAAAUAGUAUUUUAGUGGGGCGUCCUUCAUAUCUGAGAGUCAAAUAGAAGCGUCAAAUAGUGUGCUUUCAGUGCAGUUGUAAACAUUCUGAUUGUUUUGGUGCUGAACUGCUAAAUAGUACAUUUUGGAGCCUGCUCUUCAUAUCUGAGAGUCAAAUAGAAGCGUCUAAUAGUGUGCUUACAGCGCAGUUGUAAAAAUUCAAAUUUUCUGGGUGCUAAUCUUCUAAAUAGUACAUUUUGGGGCAUGCACUUCAUAUCAGAGUCAAAUAGAAGCGUCUAAUAGUGCGCUUACAUCACAGUGGUAAACAUCCUCAUAGUUUUGCUGCUAAUCUGCUAAAUAGUACAUUUUGGGGUCUGCUUUUCAUAUCUAAGAGUCAAAUAGAAGCGUCUAAUAGUGUGCUUAUAGCUCAGUGGUAAACAUUCUAAUUGUUUUGCUGCUAAUCUGCUUAAUAGUAUAUUUUGGGACCUGCUCCUCAUAUCUGAGAGUCAAAUAGAGGCGUCUAACAGUGUACUUACAGCGCAGUUGUAAAAAUUCUAAUUUUCUGGGUGCUAAUCUGCUAAAUAGUCCAUUUUGGGGCCUGCACUUCAUAUCUGAGAGUCAAAUCGAAGCGUCUAGUAGUGUGCUUACAGCGCACUGGUAAAAAUUCAAAUUUUCUGGGUGAUAAUCUGCUAAAUAGUACAUUUUGGGGCAUGCUCUUCAUAUCCAAGAGUCAAAUACAGGGAGUGCAGAAUUAUUAGGCAAGUUGUAUUUUUGAGGAUUAAUUUUAUUAUUGAACAACAACCAUGUUCUCAAUGAACCCAAAAAACUCAUUAAUAUCAAAGCUGAAUAUUUUUGGAAGUAGUUUUAGUUUGUUUUUAGUUAUAGCUAUGUUAGGGGGAUAUCUGUGUGUGCAGGGGACUAUUACUGUGCAUAAUUAUUAGGCAACUUAACAAAAAACAAAUAUAUACCCAUUUCAAUUAUUUAUUAUUACCAGUGAAACCAAUAUAACAUCUCAACAUUCACAAACAUACAUUUCUGACAUUCAAAAACAAAACAAAAACAAAUCAGUGACCAAUAUAGCCACCUUUCUUUGCAAGGACACUCAAAAGCCUGCCAUCCAUGGAUUCUGUCAGUGUUUUGAUCUGUUCACCAUCAACAUUGCGUGCAGCAGCAACCACAGCCUCCCAGACACUGUUCAGAGAGGUGUACUGUUUUCCCUCCUUGUAAAUCUCACAUUUGAUGAUGGACCACAGGUUCUCAAUGGGGUUCAGAUCAGGUGAACAAGGAGGCCAUGUCAUUAGAUUUUCUUCUUUUAUACCCUUUCUUGCCAGCCAAGCUGUGGAGUACUUGGACGCGUGUGAUGGAGCAUUGUCCUGCAUGAAAAUCCUGUUUUUCUUGAAGGAUGCAGACUUCUUCCUGUACCACUGCUUGAAGAAGGUGUCUUCCAGGAACUGGCAGUAGGACUGGGAGUUGAGCUUGACUCCAUCUUCAACCCGAAAAGGCCCCACAAGCUCAUCUUUGAUGAUACCAGCCCAAACCAGUACUCCACCUCCACCUUGCUGGCGUCUGAGUCGGACUGGAGCUCUCUGCCCUUUACCAAUCCAGCCACAGGCCCAUCCAUCUGGCCCAUCAAGACUCACUCUCAUUUCAUCAGUCCAUAAAACCUUAGAAAAAUCAGUCUUGAGAUAUUUCUUGGCCCAGUCUUGACGUUUCAGCUUGUGUGUCUUGUUCAGUGGUGGUCGUCUUUCAGCCUUUCUUACCUUGGCCAUGUCUCUGAGUAUUGCACACCUUGUGCUUUUGGGCACUCCAGUGAUGUUGCAGCUCUGAAAUAUGGCCAAACUGGUGGCAAGUGGCAUCGUGGCAGCUGCACGCUUGACUUUUCUCAGUUCAUGGGCAGUUAUUUUGCGCCUUGGUUUUUCCACACGCUUCUUGCGACCCUGUUGACUAUUUUGAAUGAAACGCUUGAUUGUUCGAUGAUCACGCUUCAGAAGCUUUGCAAUUUUAAGAGUGCUGCAUCCCUCUGCAAGAUAUCUCACUAUUUUUGACUUUUCUGAGCCUGUCAAGUCCUUCUUUUGACCCAUUUUGCCAAAGGAAAGGAAGUUGCCUAAUAAUUAUGCACACCUGAUAUAGGGUGUUGAUGUCAUUAGACCACACCCCUUCUCAUUACAGAGAUGCACAUCACCUAAUAUGCUUAAUUGGUAGUAGGCUUUCGAGCCUAUACAGCUUGGAGUAAGACAACAUGCAUAAAGAGGAUGAUGUGGUCAAAAUACUCAUUUGCCUAAUAAUUCGGCACUCCCUGUAGAAGCGUCUAAUAGUGUGCUUACAGCGCAGUGGUAAACAUUCUAAUUGUUUUGCUGCUAAUAUGCUAAAUAGUACCUUUUGGAGCCUGCUCUUCAUAUCUGAAAGUCAAAUAGAAGCGUCUAAUAGUGUGGUUACAUCGCACUUUCAAAAAUUAUAAUUUUUUGGGUGCUAAAUAGUAAAUUUGCGGCCUGCGGUGCAUUUCUUACAGUCUAAUAAAUGUAAAAAAAAAAAAAAAUAGUUGACUGUUGGCAGUUACAUUGUCACCUGACAUAAAACAUCUGUUAGUUUGGUGGGUGAACGCAAAGAAUGAGGAGAGCGUCAAAUAAGGGACAUGGCCCUGGUCGUGGUGCUUCUGGUGUUGAUGGAAUCCCUGCUGCAAAGAGAGGACGUGGUCGAUCUGUGCCAGCUACACGCACAAGUGGAACACCUUCCUCAUGUGUGAGUACGCGACAUGUAUGUAAGUAGUGGGGAAUUGCUAUGCGGCAUAAUACAUAAACCAACCCAAAUCCUCCCCCUACUAAAAUAAAGACAGACAACGUAGUAUGGAUGAAACAGGCCACAGCAUUUAUUAUACCAUAUGACAAAUACUGUAUGACACCUCCAUAAUUUAUUUAAUAAAUUUCUCUUCAUUUCUGUAACCAAACAUUAAACAUGAAUAACCAUAAAUUAACAUAUAUGCAUAUAACUUAACACAUAGUGUCAUACAGCGAAUCCAACCGUCCUUGCCAAUAAACUGACCAUGCGCCUAUGUGCGACUUCCUCUCACCUCCCCCCUCGUCAUAAAAAUCAUUUCCUUCCAAUGCCUGCCAUCAGCCGACCUUAUCCAUGCUCGAUGGGCGUGACACCCCAGGUAACCUAAGGUUAACCCUUUGAAGCAGGGGAGGUUGAGACCAUAAAAACUUGUUCAUCUCAUUCCAUAUACUUAAACGUAACCCCUCAAACUCAAUUGGCAAGGACAUAUCCCCGCCACAACCCUGCUGUUUUAUGCCUAAAAUCAGCAGGGGGCCCCACCACAUGGCCUGUUCCACCACUUCCUGGAGCGCUAGAUUAACAUAGGCCUAGUCCGACCUCCAUCAAGCGCACCCAUCCCCUCAAGAUAACUAGGCCGUGUCCCGCUCAAAACCCUAAGGCGAACUGGAAUCCCCCAAGCCCCCAAGACAAACUUAGAAACCCAUCUCGCCCAAUUUCUGACGGCAGUGCACCAGGGCGAAAACAACUCCGGAGACCAGCAGGGUGAACCUAAGGAACCUGCCACCCUGACUCCCCAUUUGCGUCUUUGAACUAUUGGCGCAGGCACGCCAAGCUUGGCGCCGUCUGUGGCCGCCCCUAACCGGAAUGAAUGCUCCCUGAACUCCCCACCAUCCUCACCCGGGAAGUUGGAAGGAAUCGGCCAACCGCAACCGACCGUUAAAUCAAACGACCACAUCUCCACUGCCCUAUAAUUUGGCCCCUUGGAGCCUCCGCCCGAAGUACGUCCCAUAGUGAACAAGAUAUAGCAUUGGCCAUAACAAUGUGAAUACCCAGGCAAACCCCACCUGAUCAGACACCUCCAGACUCAAACAGCGCCGAGCUAGGCGCUGCAACCAGAGUCCCACCGGUGUAGAGGGUACUGUCACAUGACAAAGACAGCCCGCACCACCCCACGAUUGUCCCAAAGUAAGAACUACCCAUCUUUUAGCGAGUUGGGUACCCCACACCUAACCUGCCACCAGAAUGGGGAAGCUCCAACACAGCCAGAGUCUGCCAGAGCCCCGAUGCUUGCCAGCUUAAUGGGCAAAAGUCAGCACCAUUGAGAGCCCAAAACGGCCCCAAAGCUCCAACCCUGCUGCAGCGGCAAACAGGUGGAAGUCAAUGAAAGGGACUUAGGGGGCCUGAUUGCACAAGCAACCACCCAUGGAGGCCCAGAAGGAACCCCAGACAGCCCCAAGAGCAACACCAACAGGCAAAGCCCAGCUAACCCAGGAGAGCCCACGAGUAGUGCAGCGGGUGUGACAGAUCCAUCUGUAUAGACUGGGAUUGCUGGUUCAUCUGUUUUGCCCUUUCGUGGAAUUACCCGUUCGUAUGCCCCUGUUCAGUGAAUUGACUUUUCCGCCGAACAAAACUACCAAACAGACGGCCACCCAGAAGAGAAGUGUGCUCUUGAUCCCAAUUAGAACGUUGUGGUUAACCGCAGACACUUCUCAAUUCAAACCGAAUACAGGGUGGUCGUCGUUCGUAUGUCGACCACGAGGCGGCGGCGAUUUUAAACCAUGCGAAAGACCAGCGGUGUUUGGCAUGGAUUUCAUGGAACUAAAAAACGGACACCUUUUCUGCCGAACACCGCUGAAGCCGAAGACCUCCCUUCUCAAGACAGAAGUAUGCGAACACCGGCCAUUCGCGAGGUUUAAACACACGAAUGGACUUACCCCAGAUAGCCUUCCCAUGGAGUCAAUCGCAUACCGAAAGACUGUAAUAGACUUUGACUCCAUGGCGAUUGAACAAUGCGUAUGGGAUCUGAGCGCUAUUCGCCAAUAAUAUACACUCAGAUCCAGGCUAUCUGGGGAUACGUGAUACGAAUGGGUAACAUUUGACAAAUGUAAAGUUAUAUAUUUUUAUAUGUUUUUCUGUGUUGAAUUUAAAAUGGCGAUUUGCCUCUGCCCUGGAGAUAAUUGAAUUACUUCUCAAUUAUCUCCAGGGCAGAGGGGAGGAAAUACUAAUGUAUGCUGGGAAUAUUCUGUGUCUGUGGGUCCUAACCUGCCAUAUGUCUGUCUGUUGUUACAGUCUCCCAUUUGGUCCCCUAGGGGAGUGUCCACCAAGUGGGAGACCUGCAUAAAUACGGGCAGGUAGCCCACAGUAAAGCCAGUUCAUCUUUAUCCUCAAUGCGGAGCAUGGUCUCAUUAUUGGGGGGAUUUAUUACAGACGACUAGAGACUGCCGGAUGGGAUUAUUAGCCACUUGGGAGGUAUAUGCGUUCGGCUAUUAUUGGCGAUUCGUGAGUUUGGAGCUCUUGAAGUGAAGUGCCUGUACGGAUCCCGUUCGUGAGUUUACAGCGUUCCCCUGCUUGCGGUUUGUAUGCUUGUACUUGAUACGCAUGCAGCCUUGUUAUUGCCGGAGGGGAGGAUUCACUAAACGGCGGUUUGUGCAUCUGAUGCUGAGGGUACCGUAACAGCGGGAAACCCCAAAACCACCGACACCUCCUGCCUGAUGUCUUAAACCGCAGCCAGGGGCAACCGACCUUCCCCCAGCCGGAAUCGAUCCCACUACCCAGGAGACUACAGCAUACUAUCCAGGAGACUACAUGAGACUACGGAUAUGUCCUGGGCCACGGAACUCCGAAAUGCUGAAACACUACCCCAAGAAAAACACCACAGCAGCAGAGUGCGGACGUGCGACACUGACGGCCCCACACAUAAGCGACAUUGGGAGCCACUCUUGUGGAGGCACAAAGCCACCUAAUCCUGACCGUCAGAAACAUAACCCAGAAACAAUAACCCGCCGGGCGCACCAGCAGCAGCCGGAUAACUGGUUCCACAGCUGCCUUCAUCAGCGAGGCCUCAGCCCCACAAUCCCACCCACGCAGAUGGCUGCGUCAUGCCACCAUCGCAAACCCAGCCCCUGGCAGGGAACGACAACUGAGUAAAUAUGGAAACCGCGAUAUCGACCCCGCUCCUCCAUGGGCACCACAUCCCAAAGGGGGGGACCCGCGGAGCGGACUUCAGGGGCACAAUAAAAAGAUCGGGAGGUAAGCUUAUCAAGCUUCUUGUUAAACUGGUCCUGCACCACCCGAUGGAGCGCACCCAUGUCCCCUAUCCCGACAGAUUGCCCGCAUGAUCCGCGGAAGAUGGGAUGGGCCCCCACCAAAGGAGCCCUCCCGCUGGAACGGCACGAGGACCCACUUACCAUAACCAUCAGUGAAUGUCCAACCACCGCCUAGCAUCCGGCUGGGGGCAAGUGAGGAGCUGGGUGUCCCCCCCACCUACUCCCCCAGAAAGGACGAAAACGCACCGUGCUAAGGCGCCGGGCGAGCCAUAAGUAAAACCAGAGGCCUAAGUCCAUCUGGUCCCAGGCCAAGAAGGGUCGCACCGCCAACCGUUGACGAAAGCGCAAGACGUACCACCCCCAACCCAGCUCAUCCUAGGGACGACACGCAUCCCAGAGAGUGUCCUAACAGCAAAACCACGUAGACCAUUCUUGGGGAGCUGUAUCCGAAUACGCGUCAUGGGGUGUAUCCGAUUACGGUAUGUACCCUCCUGGAGUCCUUAAAGUCCCGCUUAGUCAAGGGACCCCCAGUGGCAGGAGGAAACAUACCUCCAAUAAAACCCCUUCCCCAAUCUGCUCCCCAGUAUGUCGCGCAAGCGCAAUCCAAGCGGGCUAUACUAGCUCAGCAGCACCCAGAAUCACAUGAAACGCCCGCUUCCUGGGAGGCAUCGCCAGCGCUAUUAGCCGCGCCGGACGCUGCAGAAAAGUGUAAAACAUAUAAAAGUAAAAAGUCUAUAACAGAUGAUACAUCCAUACUGAAAAUGAAGGGGGAAGACUAUGUACCCUUUUUUUUUUUUGUAUUUCCUUUCGUAUUUUCCACUUUACUUAUUUCUUUCUUUAUUUAUUUAUAUAAAAAAAUUAUUUUUUUUGUAAUUAUUUACUUAUAUAUUUGUUAAAAUUCAUUUAAUUUGGUAAUUUCCAUUUUAGUUCCUUUUUUUGCUUGUUUGUUUAAGAGGACCCGACAGAAUAAAAGAAGGAACAACGUACUUACCAGCCAAAGCCCGGCGUACCGUAAUCAGCAUAAAGGUCAAGGCAGAAGACAUGUAAUUCAGCUACCAGUGUGUUUCCAAGGUGGUCCAGGCACCACCUGCUGGGCAUAGCAGUGAACCACAGCCAGGACCUGUGAGAAGGGCACGGAGAGGAUGUGAGCCCACGCUCCACCAGGAGGCAGCCGAGGUAAGUAACCAGCAGAGAGAAGAACAGAAGGCAGAGAGAAGAACAGAAGGGACAGGAACAGGUAAGAGCUGGGGAAUGACAGGGGAGGAGGGAGGACACAGAGAAGAGGAACAGAGAGAGGGGGAAAGAACUGAGAGAGGGGGAGAGACCAGGGGGAAACAGAAAGAGGAAACCGCAGGGGGGGGGCAAAAGGAGGGUUCCUCCGACCAGGGAAAGGAGAGGGGAGAAAAGUAAGGGGGAGGGGAGGGAAGAAACAGAAAAAAGGGGGGAUUGAAGAGACCGAAAAAAGGGGGGGUUGUGAGGGAGAGAGACCCCCCCCGGAAGCCAUCCUCACCGGCAAAGGAGGCCCCCAGCCCAGGAGAGGCCCCCCUCUCCCCCCGGCAGUACCUUAGAGCUCCGUGCGGCCCCACUCACCGCCGGGGUCCUAUUCACGGCCCAGGCGUCGUGCCAGCCAUGCGGUGGUCGGGAAGACUUCUGACCGGCCACCUACUUCAUGGGAUGCGCCGCCUGCCUCCUACAACCUCCGGCACGAUCCCCAAUGCCGGAGGCGCAGCCUGUGAUCCGGCUGCAGGAGGGAGAGGCUGCAAGUCACGUGUGGAGCCUCAGACAUGCGGCCCAGGUGAUGCCUCGGGCGGGAACGCUGGCUGGCAUCAUCGCGGCCCCCAGGAGCAGGGGCCACAGGGAAGGCCCCAUAAAGAGACAGGCCGCGGGGGGGAGUACCCACACCGGGGGUGCAGGGGCCACAGGGAAGGCCCCAGAGGGACCCAGGCCGCAGGGGGAGCACCCACACCGGCAGCCACCAUGGGAGAGGGGGGCAGGGGCCACAGGGAAGGCCCCAGAGGGACCCAGGCUGUGGGGGGGGGGGAGCACCCACACCGGCAGCCACCAUGGGAGAGGAGAGCACCUGAAUCAGGAGUCGCUGGCCACGAUCCACGCUGCAGCAGCUCUGAGGGAAGCCAGAAAGCCUCAACCUCCAUCCCUCAAGCUGUGUAAAUCUGCAGGCCCAGGUAAACAGGAGCAGCAGGACAGGAAGCUGUUUGCUGGCCCGAAUCCCAAGUGGCACUGAGGUAAGACCUCCCCACACUAACUUACACAGAACAUAAUCCCACCCACACAUACUUUCCCAACCACUCCCCUGCAUCUAUCCCCACACUCCUACAUGUGCCCUUGUCUGCUUAGCUGCGCUAUCUCCCAGGGCCUGAACCUUCAGCGUUAUUUGGUAGGCCCGAAUACCGCUCUACGAAUGGUGAGGCCAGAACAAGUACAGGCGACAGUGGCGCCGCUGGGCAGAGGGGGCCAUGGCCCCCCCUACAUCAUGCUGGGCCCCCCCAAAUGCCAGAAUAUUAUAUUCCCUCGAGCUGUAACAGUCUGUGACAGCCUGAGGGAAUGGAGGAGAGAGGGGCUGGAGAGAUGCUGGGGCCAGAGGGAGCACUGACAGGCUCCUCGGCACAGGCCCCACCCCCAAACCAAGCCCCACCUCCAAGACCAUGGUGCUGCAGAAAAUGGCUGUCUGACCUCCAGUGACAGGUAGGUUUGGUGUGUGUGUGAACAUAGCAGUCUGUGUAUAUAUGGACUCAGCAGAGUCUGUGUGUGUGUGUGUGUGUGUGUGUAUGUAUGGACUCAGCAGAGUCUGUGUGUGUAUGUAUGGACUCAGCAGAGUCUGUGUGUGUGCAUGGACUCAGAAGAGUCUGUGUGUGUGUGUGUAUGGACUCAGCAGAGUCUGUGUGUGUGUGUGUGUGUAUGGACUCAGCGUGUGUGUGUGGGGGGGGACUCAGCGGUCUGUGUAUGUGGACUCAGCCGUCUCUGUGUGUGCAUGGACUCAGCAGUCUGUGUGUGUGGGGGGGAUUCAGCAGUCUGUGUGUGUGUGUGUGUGUGUGUGUAUGGACUCAGCAGUCUGUGUGUGUGUGUAUGGACUCAGCAGUCUGUGUGUGUGUAUGGACUCCGCAUUCUGUGUGUGUAUGGACUCCGCAGUCUGUGUGUGUAUGGACUCCGCAGUCUGUGUGUGUAUGGACUCCGCAGUCUGUGUGUGUAUGGACUCAGCAGAGUCUGUGUGUGUAAGGACUCAGCAGAGUCUGUGUGUGUGUGUGUAUGUAUGGACUCAGCAGAGUCUGUGUGUGUGUGUGUGUGUAUGCUGACUACAGAGUUCUGUGUGUGUGUGUGUGUGUGUGUGUGUGUGUGUGCGGACUCAGUGCAGAGUCUGUGUGUGUGUAUGGACUCAGCAGAGUCUGUGUGUGUGUGUGUGUGUGGACUGUGCAGUAUGUGUGUGUGCGGGCGACUCAGCAGUGUGUAUGUGUGGGGGGGGGACUCAGCAGUCUGUGUAUGUGGACUCAGCCGUCUCUGUGUGUGCAUGGACUCGGCAGUCUGUGUGUGUGUGGGGGGGGACUCAGCAGUCUGUGUGUGUGUUUGUGUGUGUGUGGACUCGGCAGUCUCUGUGUGUGUGUGUGUGGACUGGUGUGUAUGGACUCAGCAGUCUGUGCGUGUGUGUAUGGACUCAGUAGUCUGUGUGUGUAUGGACUCAGCAGUCUGUGUGUGUGUGUAUGGACUCAGCAGUCUGUGUGUGUGUGUAUGGACUCAGCAGUCUGUGUGUGUGUGUAUGGACUCAGCAGUCUGUGAGUGUGUGUGUGUGUGUGUGUGUGUAUUUACUCAACAGUCUGUGAGUGUGUAUGGACUCAACUGAUCUGUGUGUGUGUGUGUGUGCAUGGACCCGGCAGUCUGUGUGUCUGUGUGUGUGUGUGUGUGUGCAUGGACUCGGCAGUCUGUGUGUAUAUGUAUGUGUGUGUGUAUGGACAUAGCAGUCUGUGUUUGUGCAUGGACUCAGCAGUCUGUGUGUGUGUGUGUGUGUCCAUGGAAUCAGCAGUCUGUGUGUGUGUGUGUGUGUGUGUGGACAUAGCAGUCUGUGUGUGUACAUACUCAGCAGAGUCUGUGUGUGUGUGUGUGUGUAUGGACUCAGCAGUCUGUGUGUGUGUAUUUACUCAGCAGUCUGUGAGUGUGUAUGGACUCAGCAGUCUGUGUGUAUGUGUGUGUGUGUAUGGACUCAGCAGUGUGCCUGUGUACGGACUCAGCAGUCUGUGAGUGUGUGUAUGGACUCAGCAGUGUGUCUGUGAGUGUGUGUAUGGACUCAGCACUGUGUCUGUGUAUGGACUCAGCAGUCUGUGUCUGUGUGUGUGUAUGGACUUAGCAGUCUGUGUGUGUGUGUGUGUGUAUGGACUCAGCAGUCUGUGAGUGUGUAUGGACUCAGCAGUCUGUGUGUGUGUAUGGACUCAGCAGUCUCUGUGUGUAUGGACUCAGCAGUGUGUGUGUGUUUGUGUGUGCAUGGACCCAGCAGUCUGUGUGUAUGUGUGUGUGUGUGUAUGGACAUAGCACUCUGUGUUUGUGUGUGUGUGUGGACUCAGCAGUCUGUGUGUGUGUGUGUGUGUGUGUGUAUGCAUGGACUCAGCAGUCUGUGUGUGAGUGUGUAUUUACUCAGCAGUCUGUGUGUGUUUGAGUGUGUAUUUACUCAGCAGUCUGUGAGUGUGUAUGGACCCAGCAAUCGGUGAGUGUGUAUGGACUCAGCAGUCUGUGUGUGUAUGGACUCAGCAGUCUGUAUGUGUGUGUGUGUGUGUGUGUGGACAUAGCAGUCUGUGUGUGUACGUACUCAGCAGAGUCUGUGUGUGUGUUUGGACUCAGCAGUGUGUCUGUGUAUGGACUCAGCAGUCUGUGUCUGUGUGUGUGUAUGGACUUAGCAGUCUGUGUGUGUGUGUGUGUGUGUGUGUGUGUGUGUGUGUAUGGACUCAGCAGUCUGUGAGUGUGUAUGGACUCAGCAUAACUUCGGCCUUCCCGCUCACCGCCUCAAAUGCGACGUGCCCACAAGGUGGAACUCCACCUCGCACAUGCUGGAGAGACUGUGCGAGCAGCAGCAGGCGAUAGUGGAGUUUCCGAUGCAGCACGCACAGUGGAGUUUCAGAUGCAGCACCAUUUCACCACCAAUGAGUGGGCCUCCAUGCGAGACCUGUGUGCCAUUUUGCACUGUUUCAAGUACUCCACCAACAUGGCCAGUGCCGAUGACGCCGUUCUCAGCCUUACUAUCCCGCUUCUAUGUCUCCUUGAAAAAACGCUGCGGGAUGAGGAUGUGGCACAGGAGGAAGAGGAGGAGGAGGAGGAAGAGGGGUCAUUUCCACAGUUAUCAGGCCAAUCAUUCACAAGUGGCUUGGAGGGUGGGUUCCUGCACCAACAUAGGCCAGGUACACAAUUGUCCAGCCAGGGCACAGUUCUGGAGGAUGAGGAUGAUGAGGAUGAGGAGGAACCAUGUUCACAGCAGGGUGGCACCCAACGCAGCUUGUGGGCAUUACUGGAGUGUGGCUGGGGGGAUACGGAGGACACAGACAAUAUACCUCCCACAGAAGACAGCUUGUCCUUGCCUCUGGGUAGCCUGGCACACAUGGGCGACUACAUGCUGCAGUGCUUGCGCAACGACUGUCGAGUUGCUCACAUUCUAACUUGGGCUGAUUACUGGGUGGCCACCCUGCUGGAUCCCCGUUACAAGGACAACGUGCCGUCCUUAAUUCCCUUACUAGAGUGUGAUCAGAAGAUGCACGACUAUAAGCACACGCUGGUAGACGCGCUGCUGAGGGCAUUCCCAGGGCCGGCGCGUCCAUAAGGCGGCACAGGCGGCCGCCUUAGGGCGCACGGGCUCUGGGGGCGCAAUAUUUCAGUGACCGGCAGGAGGGAAGCUCUCCCUCCUGCCAGGCCACCAUCUCGACCCCCGGCGCGGCAGUGCUGUGAUCAGGCACGCGAGGGAGCUCUAAUCUCCACCCUCUGCUCCCUCGCGCGCUGUCUGCUGAUGCCGCGGGAGCCGGAAAAUGACGUCAUCAACCCGGCUCCCGCGGCAUCAGUAGGCAGCCCGCAAGGGAGCAGAGGGUGGAGAUUAGAGCUCCCUCGCCGCGCCUGUUCACAGCACUGCCGCACGCCUCCCAGCAGCCCCAGGGACCGAUCCAUAAUCCACACCAGCUCUCCAGGUAGGGAGGCUGGGUGGAAAAUAUGUAGUUAUAAAAAUAAUUAGUGAAUGUAUGUGAUGUGUGUCUGUGAGUGACUGUGUGUGUGUGUCUGUGAGUGACAGUGUGUGUGUGUCUGUGAGUGACAGUGUGUGUGUCUGUGAGUGACAGUGUGUCUGUGAGUGACAGUGUGUGUGUGUCUGUGAGUAACAGAGUGUGUGUGUCUGAGUGACAGUGUGUGUGUCUGUGAGUGACAGUGUGUGUGUGUCUGUGAGUGACAGAGUGUGUGUGUCUGUGAGUGACAGUGUGUGUGUGUCUGUGAGUGACAGUGUGUGUGUCUGUGAGUGACAGAGUGUGUGUGUCUGUGAGCGACAGUGUGUGUGAGUGACAGUGUGUGUGUGUGAGUGACAGUGUGUGUGUGUGUGUGUGUGUGAGUGACAGAGUGUGUGUGUCUGUGAGUGACAGUGUGUGUGUGUCUGUGAGUGACAGUGUGUGUGUGUCUGUGAGUGACAGUGUGUGUGAGUGACAGUGUGUGUGAGUGACAGUGUGUUUGUGUGUGAGUGACAGUGUGUGUGUCUGUGAGUGACAGUGUGUGUGUGUCUGUGAGCGACAGUGUGUGUGUGUCUGUGAGCGACAGUGUGUGUGAGCGACAGUGUGUGUGUGUCUGUGAGUGACAGUGUGUGUGUGUCUGUGAGUGACAGUGUGUGUGUCUGUGAGUGAUUGUAUGAGUGUGUGUGCGAGUGUAUCUGUCUGUCAAAUCAGUGAGAGUAUGUUUGUCAUUGAGUCUGUGUGUGACUAUCAGUGUGUCUGUCAAUGAGUGUCAAUCAGUGUGGGUCUGUCAGUGUCAAUGAAUGAGUGUGUGUCAGAUCAAUGAGUCUGUGUCUGUCAGUGACGUCUGUGUGUUUGUCAUUGAGUGUGUGACUGUCAGUGUGUACAGAGUGUAUCGGAGCAGAGCGCGGUACAGGAACUUCUGUUUCCUGUACCUGGCCAGACUGACAGGAGGUGCUCACAGAGAGAGCACUCCCUGUCAGUCCGGCCGGGUACAGAAAACUGAAGCUCCUUUAGGGGAUCUGCUCCACUCGACAAUACAACAAUAGAGGUAGGAGGCACACCAGGAAGGGGAGUGUGACCACUAAAGGGGUGUGGGGUGCACCAAGGGACAGGGAGGGAAUGGGAGAGAAACACCAAGAGACAGGGAAAAGAGGGGGGAGGGGAGAAGAACACUAAGGGACAGGGAAGGGAAGGGACUACUAAUGGUCAGGGAGGGGAGAGGGGCUGGUUAAGAGGCACAUAGAUGAAGAUGUUUUUUUUCGGGGGGGGGGUGCGGGGGGGCGGAAAAAGGCAUCUUCGCCUAUGUACCUAAAAAUCCAAGCACCGGCCCUGGGCAUUCCCAUCUGACACCAGGGGCUCAGUGGAAGCACAAGGCGAAGGCAGAGGAGGAGGAAGAGGUCGCCAACGCAGCUGGGGCACCACCAGCACCUCAGAAGGCAGGGUUAGCAUGGCCGAAAUGUGGAAAAGCUUUGUCAGCACACCACAACAACCAGCACCACCACCUGAUAUGGAAUGUCUUAGCAGGAGGCAGCAUUUCAGCAACAUGGUGGAACAGUACGUGUGCACAUGCCUACACGUACUGACUGAUGGGUCUGCCCCAUUCAACUUCUGGGUCUACAAAUUGGGCACAUGGCCUGAGCUUGCCCUUUAUGCCUUGGAGGUGCUGGCCUGCCCUGAAGCCAGUGUAUUGUCUGAACGUGUGCUUAGCACGGCAGGGGGUGUUAUCACAGACAAGCGCAGCCGCCUGUCCACAGCCAACGUGGACAACCUCACGUUUAUUAAAAUGAACCAGGCAUGGAUCCCACCAGACUUGUCUGUACCUUGUGCAGAAUAUACAUUUAUACCGGCCUCACCCAGCCAUUGUUAUACUCAAGUGCACUUAUUCUUUGUUUUCUUUUUUUAUAUGUCCCAAUAUUUUGGGGGCUACCCCAAUAAAAAUAAAUAAACAAAAAAACAAAAACAAAACAAACAAAUUAAAAACAGUGUUGGCUACCUCCUUCUCCUCCUCCUCCAUCGCCGCUUCCACCUAAACCGCCACGGUGUAUACCCAGAUAUAUCAGAGCUGCUGCAGAAAGUGCGGCCCGUCUGUGUGCGAUUUCGGCGUUCGCACCUGUAACGGACCGCUUCAGCACACAAGGGGUUAAAACCGUUUAGGCGAUCGUCCCCUUUCAGAGAUGGAGGCGCAGUUACUGUAGAACACCAAACUCAUGAACCGCAUGUAAGGGAAUGCUCUAAACUCCUGAACAGCAUACAAUAUAGCACUCCAAACUCACGAACUGGAACCAUACGAAUCGCUGCUAGCAGACGAAUAGGAAAAGCAUCCAAGCGGCUUACACUCCUAGCAAUCAGUCUCUAUCAGCAUUCAGUAAAUCCCCCCAAAGAUGAGACAAGGCUCCGUGUUGAGGGUCAAGCAGUGGUCUGGUUUAAUGAGGGCUACCUGCCCAGUAUUUAUGCAGGUCUCCCACCUGGUGGACACUCCCCUAGGGGACCAAAUGGGAGACUGUGACAAAAGACAGACAAUCAGCCAAACAGGACACACAGUCACAUUAUAUUCCCACAAUGCAUCCUGGCUUCCUCCCUCUGCCCUGGAGAUAAUUGAGAAGUAAUUCAAUUUUCUCCCAGGACAAAGGCAAAUCUUCAUUAUGCACGUGGGGAUACUAAAACAUGAAUUACUAUUAAAAUACACUAUAUGACACAAGUUACAAUAAAACUAUACAUUUAACAUAUCCCCAGAUAGCUCAGGUCUGAGCGCACAUUAUUAAGCGAAUGGCGCUCAGACCACACGAAUACAGUUUAAUCGCCAUGGAGCCAAAGUCUUCACAAAGUCAGUUCUCAUACGAAUGAGCUCCAAGGGAUUCCUAUCUGUGGUAUAGUGCAGUCAGGUACAACUACCGAAUGCCGGGCCGUUUGUGUACUUCCACCGAACAAGAAGGGAGGUCGGCGGCUUCAGCGGUGUUCGCGCCAAACUGUGUCUGUUUUUAGUUCCAUGAAUUAAGCGUUGAACACCGCUGUGCGUUCGCGUGUUUAAAAUGGCCGCAACCUCGUGUUCGUUAUACGAAUGGCGGCCACCCAGUAUUCGUCAAUUAAGCUGCGGUUAACCGCCGGCACACUCCAGCUCCCAGGUGGUCUAGUCAUUCGUGCGGUUGUUCGGUAGAUUGAAUCUACCGAACACCGGGCAGAAAAGCACGAAUAAGUCUUUUCUGCAGGGGAAACAAAGUCUUUUAACAUGGGGCCAUAAUCCAAAGGUAGCAGGCGUGCAACCAGGCUUAUGCAAUGUGCCGAGAUUGCUCUCGUCACAGCACCCUGCUGCUGCUCGCCUGUCUGCGCUGCAGCGUAACUCCGGCCUUCCCGCUCACCGCUUCAUGAACUCAUGAGAGUUUUCUUUUUUAUAUGUCCCAAUAUUUUGGGGGCUACCCCAAUUUAAAAAAAUAAAAAACAAUGUUGGCUACCUCCUCCUCCUCCACCGCCGCUUCCACCUACACCGCCACGGUCACCGCCUCCUCAACCUAUGAGUCACUUAGUAUAAACUAUGUACACAAUAGCGAAGGCCUUUUCUCCAUGCAUCAUGAGUUGAGCAUUUCUCCAUGCAUCAGCACUGCAAGUUUCAUGGGCAAAUGCAAAUAUUACAAGUUUUAGAAUGAAAUGUUGUAUUUCUUAAACUGUGUACUUUGUCUUUAAGAGAUAUUGCAAAUUGACAAGGUGUUAGAAAUGGAACAUAUUGUUUUUCAUAGAUGUUUCUUUAAGCAAUAACCUCAGUGCAUAAUAUGUUUGCGCCAUUUUGUCCCAGACGAAUUACAAUAACAAUAAUGCAUAAACAAGCUUCAAGGCUAAGCUACGACUCUUUCAGUACACAGGGCCGGCGCGUCCAUAAGGCGGCACAGGCGGGCGCAAGAUUUCAGUGAGCGGCAGGAGGGAAGCUCUCCCUCCUGCCAGGCCACCUUCUGGAUCCGCGGCGUGCGGCAGUGCUGUGAUCAGACGUGGUGAGGGAGCUCUAAUCUCCACGCUCUGCUCCCUUGCGCGCUGUCUGCUGACGUCAUAUACCGGCUCCCUCCCGCGGUAUCAGAAGGCAGCCCGCGAGGGAGCAGAGCGUGGAGAUUAGAGCUCCCUCGCCGCGUCUGAUCACAGCACUGCCGCACUGGACCCCAGGGAAUGAUUCAUCAUCCACACCAGCUCUCCAGGUAGGGAGGCUGGGUUGAAAAUGUUUAUUUAUUAAAAUAAUUAGUGAGUGUGUGUAUGCGUGUCUGUGUGUCUGUGAGUGACUGUCUGUGAUUGAGUGUGUGUGUGUGUGUCUGUCUGUGUUUGUGUGUAUGUGUGUCUGUGAGUGACUGUCUGUGAUUGAGUGUGUGUGUGUCUGUCUGUGUGUGUGUGUAUGUGUCUGUGUGUGAGUGUAUGUGUGCCUGAGUGUCUGUGUGCCUGUGAGUGACUGUCUGUGAUUGAGUGUGUGUGUGUGUCUGUCUGUGUGUGUGUGUAUGUAUGCCUGUGUGUGAGUGUAUGUGUGCCUGAGUGUCUGUGUGCCUGUGAGUGACUGUCUGUGAUUGAGUGUGUGUCUGUCUGUGUGUGUGUCUGUGUGUGAGUGUAUGUGUGCCUGAGUGUCUGUGUGCCUGUGAGUGACUGUCUGUGAUUGAGUGUGUGUGUGUCUGUGUGUCUGUGUGUGAGUGUAUGUGUGCCUGAGUGUCUGUGUGCCUGUGAGUGACUGAGUGUGUGCAUGAGUAUGUGUGUCUGUGAGUGCUUGUAUGAGUACUGCAUGUGAGUGUAUGAGUGUGGCAGUGUAUGUGUGUCUGUCAGUGUGUGUUUGUGAGUGUCUGUCAAAUCAGUGAGAAUAUCUUUGUCAUUGAGUCUGUGUGUGAGUAUCAGUGUGCCUGUCAAUGAAUGAGUGUGUGUCAGAUCAGUGAGUCUGUGUGUUUGUCAUUGAGUGUGUGUGACUGUCAGUGUGUAUACACCACUGAGUGUAGCGUGGUGGAACGCAGUACAGGAGCUUCUGUUUCUUCCUAAACAGAGCUGAAAUUAUACUACCCUCCUAGAAAAAAGGGCAACAGGUGGUUAUACAUCCUUUGCUUCUCUAAAUGCUCUGCAAAAAUAAAUAUUGAGAAAAUGAUUAAAAAUAAUAUAUAUGUAAGAUAAAUACACUGUCUCUAUCUAUCUCCCCUUGGAUCUAUCUAUCUCCCCUUGGAUUUACUUGCUCCUUUAUAGGGUUAGCAUAGAACACCCUUGAAGGUGUUUGUCUCUAAGAAGUUUGCAGGGAAUAUACUCCUUAUUCAUAACCUUCCUUCUCUAUGCUGCUCUGUUUACUAUUGAUUUACUGAGGGUCUCUAUAUAUAGGGAUAGCAUAGAACACCCUCGAAGGUGUUUGUUUCUAGGAGUUUUCAGGGAUUUUAUUCUCCAUCUACAACUCUCCUUUCCUAUGCUGCAUUGUUCAGUAUUUAUCUACUGAGGGUCUCUCAUUAGGGAUAGCAUAGAACACCCUUGAAGGUGUUGAUUCUUAGGAGCCGUCAGGGACUAUCAACUCUCUACUUAUUAUUCUCUUUCAUAUGCUGUUCUGUUCAGUACCCAUUUACUGUGGUUCCUCCCUUUCUUAUUAUAAUAUAGGUUGAGGGACAGCAUAGAAUAUACCUGAAGUAUUAGGGUAAUCAUUACCUUUGCACCUAUUAUUCCCUGUCUACCUAUCUUUUGAUUAACUAUUAUCUUUUCUCCUCUGGGGACUAGUCAUUAUAUCCUUAUUGAAGAAUUUGACUUCUCCCCCUGUAGAUUCAUGUGAUAUAUAGUAUUGCUAAUUUCUUAGGUCGGAUUCGAUUCCAUCUUUUGCCCCUUCUGUUUAUUAUUAGAAUUACAAUAAAGUAGCUUUAAUUGUUUCACUUUUGGGGCAUCUUUGGAAUAUCUAAUUAAUAUACUAUAUAUUUCGGGAUUAUUUCUCUCUUUAAGGACUUCAGUGCUGGUUUUCUAGCCAUUUAAUGUUAUUAGUACUUUCCCUAUAUUAUAUUUAAGAUCAGUCUAGAGUCUCUUCUAUUGAGUCUCUAAUAUACUUUUUUUUCAAUACUUUAUUCUGGGUACAAGCCCUUUUGGUGGAUCUGUAACCACCAGUCUGACCUCUGGGAGUGCCUCACUCUCACUUUUUCUUUGUGAGUUGUGGAUACACCUCCAACAUUUUACUUACCUUAAGAUAUAGAGAGUUCGUGGAAAGUGUUCCCCUGAUUCGGUAGAUUGAAUUUCCCGAACACCGUUCGUGUGAAGUUCGUGGAAAUAAGCCAGGCGGGACCGGGACUCGAGGGCUCGAGGGCUAUGCCGAAAAUAGUUCCAGGAGGUCGAUGCCUAAGUCCCGCUGACUGGCCGUUUGGGAGUUUAAGAUGGAUUUUUAAGGGAUUUGAACGUACAGGAAAUAACGAAUGCACCAGUAAUACAGGUAAUAAAUCCCACGAAUACAACACGAAUACAACAGCAGGGAGGGAAAUAGUCAAAACGAAUUGAGGGUGAUUCUUCACAGAGGACUUCCUCCAAGAACUAUCUCAUAAGGAGAGACACAGCUCACAGUGAAAUGAUUGCCUACACUGGUAUUUCACAAGGAACCUAUUGAAGAUAAUUCCAAAAACUGAUUAUAAGAAAGAUGUGAUUGAACCAUUCCAAAUCCUAAUAAUGGACUCAACGAUGAUGGCAAAGCAUGCUGAAAACAGGAAAAGACGGGACAGAUGCUUGUGAAAAACUUUGGAUGCACCUAUGAAGGUGUGGCGGAACCAACCUCGCAACUAUGCACUGGAGAAGCCUGGUUGCCAGCCUCCUGCCAUGUGACUAUGGCCCCUGGGAUGUAUUGCCCUUUAAAGACAUGAUUUGGGCAUAAUGGAUUUGUGUUGUGCUGCUGCUGGCCCUUUUAAGAACCAUCUGGGGACAUACUGUGGAGUUACUGGGUGGCCACCAUUUCCUGUAUCAGAAGCACAUGGUGAGAACAAUGGAUGGCGGCCAUUUUAACUCACAGACACUGUGUGGACUUUUCAACACGGUGCCAUCUCGCCAGUAUUUGUUGCACAGAGACAUCGUGCGGUGGUUUUGGACUAUACAGCAGGGGACACAUUAUACAGUGAUUGUUUUUUAUUUAGCCUGUAUAUGUUCUGCAGAAUCUGCAUUAAACUGUAUUUUCCAAAGUACUGAACGGAUCUGGGUGAAUUUUGGAUAUGUGGUUCACCCAGAUCCCCCAGUUCCAAGGAUAUACUUUUUAUGGGGUUAUUGCAUGUUUUGGGGUCCCUGUGAUGUGUUUUAUGAAACUGUAUUUCUCUGGCUGUGAUAAUUAGAUUACCCAUUGUGUUCAGUAAUCAUAUCACAGCCAGAGGGGAGGAUUUUGUGUGGGAGUGUCUGGGUGUAUUGUAUGGAUUGAUUGGCUGUUUUGUAACGCCCUGUGGGCUGUACUAUGUUUGUGGAUUGGGAAUAAAAGAGACUGUAUGUGACAGUACAGGGAGUUCCUGUUUUAACCCUCAAAGUGAAGUGUCGUCUCAUUAUUGGGGGAAGGAUUUAUUGUAUGCUGUUCCAGUUUGACUGCUAGGAGAGUAAACCUAUUCGUAUGGUUCCUAUUCAACUGUCUACAGCAUUCAUAUGCUUGAGAGGAUUCAUAUGCUUCUCCGGUUCGGUGGUUGUGGUGUCUGCUGCAGUGCUUGGAGUCCUCAGGAAGCGCUAGGAGCAUCUUUUAACGGAGGUACCCAGUCGGGGUGCCAGGCGAUCCGUUACAGAAGGUGAUUAAGAAAAUACUUUGCCAUAUAGUUUAUCAUUGAAGGACUUUGUGCAAACAGCCUUCUUAUGCUGAAAGGAAGUGCUAUGCUAAUUCUGGACAUUGCUAUUAUGUUUCCAGACAGAAGAUGACCGGAAAAAGAAAUAAAGGCUGAUAACUGUCAAUACCCAACAGCUUCUCAAGAUGGAACAUGGUAAUGACAAAACCAGAUUGACUAUCAAAGCACCUCACAGUACAAGACAGAUUGUUGCCUACAACUCAGAAAAAGUGGUUAAUAGGAAGGAGCAGAAGAAGAGGAAUAUAGAUUUCCUACUGGAGUGAAAAACCAUCCUUGAACAAUAUUCUGUAACAAUGAACUUUGCCAGCAUAUGAAUUCGAAUUCGAAAAAAACACAUUAACGAAAGAAACCUUAAAGCAAUUAAUAAAUAAUAACUAGACCGGCCUACUAAGAGCAGAUGUCCUGCCAAGAGAAUGGAUUAUAAAAGGCCAGCAAAACCUUUCAGAAACAUGACAUCACGGGACACUUGUACUAAAGCACGAUUUGCAGCUUUUCUUAACCCUUAAGACCGGAGGGCGUACUAUUACGCCCUAUUCUAAGCGGCUCUAAACGUCGCCGGGCGUAAUAGUAUGCCCUCCGGUCUUUUCCUACUUAACCGGUCGCCGGCGAUCCCACGCCGGCGAUCGCGGUUGGGGGGACUCCCAGGGAGCCCACAGCAGCACGUCCGACCCCCUGGAAGCCCCCCGGCCAUGUGAGAAGGAGGUCCUUGCGAGGACCCCACAAUCACAUGGCCGGGGGUAGCUGGCUGCAGCAUUGCCAGCAGGGGGACUGCCUGUAAUGACAGGUGGUCCCCCUGCUGGCUGGGAAUAAAAUCAAAUAAAUUAAAAAGUGUAAAAAAAAUAAUAAUAUAUACUUAGAUCAUAUAUAUAUAUAUAUAUAUAUAUAUAUAUAUAUAUAUAUAUACACAUAUACAUACACACACGUACACUGUCUAGGUGUAUUUUACUAUUAAUAUAUAUAUAUAAAUAUAUAUAUAUUAAUAUCAAAUUACACGUAGACUGAUACUGAUUAAAUAUAUAUAUAAUUAUUGUUAUAUAUAUAUAUUUAUAUAUAAUAUAAAAAAAUAUGUAAAUACGUUAAAAAAUAAAAUUACGGGGGCGUGUCCGACUUCUGGCCUGAACGGACGCAUGGAGUAGGAGCUCCUCUCCAGCACGAGCCAUAACGCAUACUAAAUGCACGAUUACAAUCUACAACCAAGUAGCAAUCCAACGGGGAAAGGGACCAUACCACAAAUAUGUCGCCCUCCAAACAAACAAAACUUACGGACCCGUCCAGACAGGCGAAAAAAGAAAGGAACAAAAUGAUCCAAGAUGGCGCCGGUUCGGAAUCCUCUACCCAAACCUCGGAAGGUGCGACGGACUUGGACCAGGUCCAAGAGACGGAAGCAGAAGGGAACAUUUCCAAGGCUUACCUCAAGGCUAUGCUCCAAGAAUUAAGAUCAACAAUCCGCGAAGAUUUCACAACAAUAAUCAAUGGUAUACACCAGGAGAUUGCAGAACUGGGUGACCGCACAGACCAUCUCGAGAGGAAAACAGAGGAGCUAUGCUCAGCUCAUAAUGCAGCGCCCGACAAACUCCAAGCUUUGGAAGCUGACAACACUAAGAUAUGGCAAAAACUGGCGGACAUGGAGGACAGAUCAAGAAGAAAUAAUGUAAGGUUCAGAGGGAUAGCAGAAUCUGUCACACCAGACAAACUUACCGCCUACAUCACCACCAUGUGCGCAACAAUGGCGCCUACCAUAAGCGGCUCAGCAUGGGACCUCGACAGAGUGCACCGGCUUCCUAGGCCACAGCGCCUCUCUGCAGAUACCCCACGCGAUGUCAUAGCACGCUUCCACUACUUCAAGUCUAAAGAUGCCCUCCUCACGGCUGCUAGGGCAUUGCCUACCAUGCCCACACCAUAUGAAGGCAUAGCACUAUAUGCAGACCUGUCGGCCACGACAAUGGCGCGCCGCAGAGACUUUUCCACAAUUACCAAAACGCUGCGGAAUCACAAACUGGCAUACAGAUGGGGCUUCCCCACGAAGGUCCUGAUAUGGCGCAACGGUAAAGUAAACGUGAUAGCAGACCCAGAGACAGGUCUCAACACCCUGAAAGAAUGGGGACUGUGGGACAACCAAGGAUCAGCAAACCCCCCCAGAGGCCUCCCCACAACGGUUCCGGCCGGAAUGGAAGAUGGUGGGCCAACCUCCACGUUAGAGCACCAUAGGGCACCGGUCACCCGCACAACACCAUUAAGGGACCACACCAUCGCAUACUCUAUGUGAAGGAGGACCCGACCAAAUGAACUUUGAAUAACAGAGUCUGGCACUGUGCCAACUCAGGACUUUCAUACACACCUAAGUGCUGCUAACUUCAGGACUGGUAGUAUAUGUGCGAGCGUUCUAAAUUUGUGAGUGUGUGUUGUGCUCCCCCUGCCAUCCCACCUUAUAGUGUCACUUGAAGCCCUGGUUAUCCCACUGGGUACCCCCAGUCAGUGCCAGUCUGAGGGUUGAAUGCCUACCCCCACCGACACUCAGGGGCCCCGCCCGUAAGGGAAGACAUCGCAGCAGGGAGCAGUCCCCCUCUAGUAAGGCCCCCGGGCAUCCAGUCCCGAAACCAACACCCCACGGAGCAUAAAUAACUACCCGCCUCAUGCAGGAACGCUCACAACCCCAAUGGGCACAAGCCCCUUCCGAACAACCGAAGGGUAGCCAAGGUAGCCACCAAUACCAGGCCCACAUUGACCCGUGGGGACGUUCACUGCAAUGGGGUCCUUGCGGUGUAGAGAUAACCCCUUAGAUUCCUGCACCUGGGGGCCGAGACCAGCGCUCAACUGCCAGAAUCGGGAUAACCCCAGGGACCUAAACACCAGACCCUAGGGAUGACAGGGGGACAGGUCAUACCCCAAGUUUGCCAGAUUGCCCCAUAAAAGUUUGCCCACUCAUACGCCGUAUGGCGCCAUAGACGACAAAAACAAAUAAUAAAAAUUUUUUUAAAAAAAAUCAAACCACCCACACAUAUACCGGACUGAAUCGCAUGUAGCUACCUCUACCGUACCAUAAGACACUAAUAUUACCCCCCAUAGGGGACGGGUGCCCUUGCUCUACGGGAAACGGGAGGAUGACCACAAUGGCUCCCCCGCUAUCACAUCACUAUACAUGACUGUGCAAUCUAAUACCUUGAAACGCUACUACGGCUCAGGAGCGGACCUGCUCCACACGACCCCCCAUCUGGGAUGUCUACUGGGGAGACACGUGACAGCUCCCCAGUACACCCAAAGCUGCACUCUCAAUGGAGAGAGUUGUAUAUAUAUUUUGUUUAUGUUAUAUAUGUUUAUGUUGUACUCCCCCUAGUUUUUGCAUGUCUUAUAACUGAGAUACCAUACCAAAGACACGGUCCCCGACUACCAGCCCUUACGCAUACCAUCCAGGACUCAUUCCCUACCGACAUAAGAGAAGGUGUGCAUCAUCGCUCACCCAAGUUCUGGGACAACCCACUCAAUGCAGCAUGCCGUCCUCCUUGCUAGAAUGACACACCAAUUUAAAUGCCUUUCCCUGAAUGUCAAUGGCCUGAACAGCCCGUUUAAAAGACACUCUGCCCUAAGAGAGAUACACACUUCACAAGCAGCAAUAGUAUGCCUGCAAGAAACCCACCUAUGUAUACACAACCCUCCAGCAUUCAAACCGACCUGCUACCCACAAGCAUUCCACGCAUUAGCACCGCACAAGUCCAAAGGGGUCUCUAUACUAUUCCACAAAGACUGGGUCUUUCAGCCCACUAAGAUCCAUCAGGACACAUUAGGCAGAUUGAUAAUCGUGGUAGGCGCUCUCAAUGGCAUCAAUGUCACAGUGGCGUCCCUGUAUGCCCCAAAUGACGCUCAGGCCUCCUUUCUGGGGUCUGCUCUUAAAAAAGUAGCAAACCUUAGACAAGGUCACACUAUCAUAUGCGGGGAUUUUAACUGCACACUGGAUCCCAACCUAGACAUCCAACGAGCCCAAGGGAAAAAGCCCCUACAUCAAGCUGCCUCCCUAAGCCGGAACCUCUCCAUUCUCCUCCACAAACACGACCUAUACGAUACAUAGCGCAACCUUUUCCCGAGCGGGAGAGACUAUACUUAUUUCUCUCCAGUACAUCAUACAUACUCACGCAUAGAUAUGUGCCUAGUGGACAAAAUGUCACUGCAGAAUAUUUCAGACGUUAUGAUAGGGCAGAGGACAUGGUCAGACCAUGCUCCGGUCAUUACCACCUUUAAGACCUUAUACCCUGUGAAAGGUAGAAGCACCUGGAGACUAAACGAAACCCUGAUGAACGAGACAGACCUCAUAACAAAGCUGACCAAUACGAUUCGAUGGUUCUACGAGGACCACGCAAAUGACAAAACUACCAUCCCGACGCAAUGGUUGACUCUUAAAGCAGUAGUUAGAGGCCUCCUUAUACAGGCAGGAGCGACGCGCAAAAAGAAAGGACAAAGGGAGAAAGGGAGCCUACUAGAGGACCUCAAACACUUGGAGGAUAAAAACAAACUCAACCCGUCAAAAAAAAUAACUAAACACAUCAAUAGCAUAAACUCUAGAUUACACGCGCUCUCACUAGCGAAUAUGGAAAGACAAAUGCGCAAGCUUAACCUAACUCAUUAUAUGCAAGGCAACAAAGCCGGCAAGCUACUUGCGCGACGGCUAAAAACACAAUACCUACAGUCUAAAUUACCUUACAUGACAUCAGCCAACAACACGAAACUAUACAACCCCCAAGACAUAGUGGAAGAACUGGCCACCUACUACGAUAAACUCUAUAACUUACACCAGGCCAAUGACACCCACCAACCCUCCCAACACGAAAUCCUUGAUUUCCUGCGGGAGGUAGAUCUGCCCAGACUGACGGAGGAUCAGGGGGAGGCUCUCCUGGCCCCAUUCUCAGAGGAGGAAGUGCAGCGUACCAUAUGCUCUCUUCCAAAACGUAAAGCACCGGGCCCAGAUGGAUUCCCUAAUUCCUUCUACACUACAUUUGUCACACAACUCACACCGCACCUUACCAGAUUAUUCAACCAUAUCAAAACUACAGGACACAUCCCUAAGGAAAUGCUCCUCGCACAUGUAAUAACGCUGCCCAAACCGGGAAAACCCCCAACGGAAUGCGCGAACCUGAGGCCAAUAUCACUGCUGAAUGCAGACACUAAAUUGUAUGCAAAGCUGUUGGCUUCGCGUAUCAAACCACUACUACUAGACAUGGUCUCACCGGAACAAGCAGGAUUUGUCCCACUUAGACAACCAGGCGACAACACUCGCCACUUCCUAAACCUAAUCCAUUGGGCACAAUCGUCCCACCAACAGGGCAUACUACUAGCGUUGGACGCUGAAAAAGCGUUCGACCGCCUCAAUUGGACAUAUAUGCUGGAAGUAUUAGCUAAAAUGGGGUUCCCCCUUCCGUUCCAAAAUAGCAUAAUGGCCCUUUACUCAAGUCCAAUGGCUAAGGUAUAUAACACGGGCUUUCUCUCCAGGCCAUUUACAAUCACGAAGGGGACCAGGCAGGGCUGCCAUCUCUCCCCACUGAUCUUCAUCCUCUGCAUGGAACCGCUGAUUCAGCACAUAAAAACGACAGUUACAAUCAGGGGACUGGCCACUCCGAUAGGAGCCAUGAAAAUUGCACUAUUCGCAGACGACACCCUGCUGUUCAUUACAAAACCGUCCCAAUCUCUGCCCCACUUAAUACAACUACUAGACAGAUACGGCAGAGUGUCCUACUACAAAACAAUGCGAAGAAAUCACAAGCCUUAGCCCUCCGCCUGCCCCAACGCACUUUACAAACCUCAAAGCUAAAUACCCGUUUGAUUGGCGAAAAACGUCACUCUCAUAUCUAGGCAUCCAGCUACCCGCCUCAAUUAAUACAAUACCCCAAGUUAACCACAUUCCACUCUUGCACAAACUAGACUCCCAGCUCAGACAAUGGGAAGAUAAAGGCACAUCAUGGCUGGGUCGUAUCAAUACGGUGAAGAUGAUGAUCUUACCGCACAUCCUAUAUCUCUUUAGAACCCUGCCUAUACAGAUCCCAAACACAUUGCUAAAAAGAUUCCAAUCCACUAUAAAUGCACAUAUAUGGAAUAGGAGGCCCCCCCGCAUCUCCCAAAAUCUUCUCUGGCGACCCUUCUCGAAAGGAGGCCUGAGCAUACCCAACAUACAGCUAUACUACCGAGCUUCAAUAAUGGCACAAGGCAUAACGAUACUAGAACGAAUGACACCUCCCAUAUGGCUAGCGCUGGAAAACGCAAGUCUGACACAGGGAACUAUAGAAGAAGCACUGUGGGCUAGUUACUACCACCGAUCAAUACACCCCACCAUGUUACCUACUACAGAACUAAUGCUUAGUACCUGGUCGAAGGUAACCCAAAAACUAGGAGUAAGCAGAGACCUCUUGUAUGCAGCACCCCUAAGAUCGCUAACACUAUACACGACAGAUAUGUGUCUAGAUGCAUGGACUAGCCACGGCAUCUCCCAUGUAUAUACUCUAUUCGACACCGCGGGCAUGCUACCCUUCCCAAAACUGCAACAGACUUUCACCCUCUCCUCCAGAGAAUUAUUCACAUACCUACGCGUAAAGAAUAUACUUCACGAACAGAAAUUACUCAACGGUAGUACAGUUCCCAAAUCACGAUUUACCCUCAAAUGCCAAGGGAAUCUAAAAAAUACCAAAGCCCUGUCCUUUUGCUACACCUCUCUCAUGCAACUGGGAGACAAGGAACUUCCCCCAAACAUGCGCCUCUGGGAGAAGGACCUGAACAUAAAAAUCCACCCGAAAGCAUGGCAGCUGGCUCUAGAGAGAGUCAAAAAAGCCACACAUAGCUUAGCCCAUAGAGAAGCAUACUGCAAACUAACAAUGAGAUGGUACUUAGUACCCACGCGCCUGGCGCACAUAUUUCAGGGCACAACUCCCCUAUGCUGGAGAUGCCAAGAGCACGAGGGCACGCUGUUCCAUAUAUUCUGGUCCUGUCCACUCAUCACAAAGCUGUGGGAUGAGGUGGAACAGUUUCUCCUAACAAAAGUAAAAAUUAAGGUCCCAAAAACCCCAGCAAGCUACCUUCUACAUUUGUUUCCCCACUCCCCCAGCGACGACGAAAUACAGAUUCUUACCCAUUGCCUUAUAGCAACAAAAAUAACAAUAGCGCAUAGGUGGAAACAAACUCACUGCCCAACCCUAUCAGAAGUCCUGACGAGACUAGACACGACAAGUAAUUAUGAGUUGAUGCGCCGCCGUAUCCGGAAUAAAGAGCAUAAGCACUCCAAAUGCUGGCAGAAAUGGGUUCAGAUAAGGGAUUAAUGUAUGUGAUGGUUAUCUCACAGACUUAGCCAAUAAAAGUCCAGCAAGAAAGACAACACGACAGCCUAAAUUGCUAUCACACUAUGUUCCCCUAACCCCCCACUACACCGAUAACCCCCAGUCCAUGAAGGUCACCAAUGACAAGUGCAGAACAAAAUGGACAGAUUUAUAGAAUACCAGCAAUAGAACAGAAGACCCAACAGACAAAACGGCCACAUCGGGGACCGCAGACCAGUGGUGUAUCCUGGUUUUGUGCUGCCCUAGGCAGGACAAAACUCAGGCACCCCCCCGCGCCACCCCCACCCGCGCAACCGGCACCCAACCUUCCCCCCUGCUCCGCCUUCUAAAUACACACACACACAUUCACUGACAGAUACGCAUUCACUAGCUAACAGAAACACACACUCACUAACAGACACACACACUCACAGGCAAACACACACACACUAACAGGCAAACACACACACAUCCACACUAACACUAACAUACAUACACUAACAUUAACAUACACACUAACACUAACAUACACACACUAACACUAACAUACACACACUAACAUACACACACUAACACUAACAUACACACUAACAGACACACACUAACAGACACACACUAACAAACAGACACACACUAACAGACACACACUAACAUACACACACUAACACUAACAUACACACACUAACAUACACACACUAACACUAACAUAAACACACUAACACUAACAUACACACACUAACACUAACAUACACACUAACAGACACACACUAACAGACACACACUAACAGACACACACUAACAGACACACACUAACAUACACACUAACAGACAUACACACACUCACUAGUGUUUUUAUUUUUAUUUUUUUAUUUAACCCCCCCCAGCCUCCUUACCUUUGGUAAUGCUGGGGGGGGUUCUUCCUCUCCCUGGGGUCCAGUGGCUGCAGCGCUGGGCGGGCGGCCGGCAAGGGAGCUCUUCCCCUGAGCGCUCUGCUCAGCUCCCUCGCGCGCCGCCAGCAGAGUGAGGCUGGGAGCCGGAAUAUGACGUCAUCAACCCGGCUCCCAGCCUCACUCUGCUGGCAGCGCGCGAGGGAGCUGAGCAGAGUGCUCAGGGGAAGAGCUCCCUCGCCGGCCGCCCGCCCGCCUGCCCGCCCAGCGCUGCAGCCACUGCCGCCCAGCGCCCAGAAUGUCUGUUAGCCGCGAGGCUAACAAGACAUUUGCCUUGGGCAUUUGGGGGGCGGUGUUUUGCCGCCCCCUGAAAAAUGCCGCCCAAGGCAAAUGCCUUGUUUGCCUCGCGGCUAAUACGCCCCUGCCGCAGACGCAACAGAGCUAACAUAUAAUAUGCAGAGACCGCACCCCAAGCUGACCACCUAUAGCUUAUAAGGCGACUCCCAGCGACAUAGGCCUUUAGAAGCUACCAUAGGUCUUCACCCUUGACGAUAGCUCACCUCAGCACUUGCUGACCCUUGCUCAAUCAACAACACCCCAAGAUGCGGCCCAACCAAUUAACUAAUUGACCAACCAACUACCUGACUAGUAUACUUAUGAAGGUACUUGAAACGUAAGGGGCAUUCGAAUAGUGAUGUUUCUAUGAUCUGCAUUGUCAAAAAUAUAUGUCGGAAACCUGUUGACUAUGUGUAAUAUGUACAUGCUCUCCCCCCUUCUUUUAUUUCUGUACCCCUCUUAAGUUGAUACGUAAUAUCACACGAAACCAAUAAAAAAUUUAGACAAUGAAAAAAUAAAUAAAUAAAUAAAAUUACAAAAAUAAUUAAAAAUAAAUAAUUAAAAAAUAUAUAGAUGUGUGUUAUUUCGUUCUAAAUGUAUUGUGACAUUAAUAUAUAUAUAUAUAUAUAUAUAUAUAUAUAUAUAUAUAUAUAUUUGUGUUAAGGGCUCAUGAUAGUACAGAAGAUACAAACAUUGAUAAGUAUGGGAUAGUGUGAAAGAGCAAGUCGGUUGUGGUGUGCCGGAACCGACGAUGAGGUAGGCCUGUAAAUAAAGAGGGCCCACCAAUAAGAAAUGUAUGAGAAAAAGGAGUUAAUAAAAGAGGAGUGGGUGGGAGGGUGAUGCAGCGCUGACCUCGAACGGUAUGGAGCCAGGUAAGGGGUGUCCCUUAAGUAGGGAGAAGGUGAGUCAUACGCCCCUCCCACAAUUACAGGCCAAAAGGCCUUAAUACUUGUGUUAAGGGCUCAUGAUAGUACAGAAGAUACAAACAUUGAUAAGUAUGGGAUAGUGUGAAAGAGCAAGUCGGUUGUGGUGUGCCGGAACCGACGAUGAGGUAGGCCUGUAAAUAAAGAGGGCAAAAGUAGAAAAUAUACUUUAUUACGAAACGAGCAGUAUACAUACUUCAACCAGACAUAUCUUGAAAGGCAUUUCUAACUUCUUGUACUGGGUUAGGUAUGUAUCUAGAGUAUGCAGAAGACUUCCAGCGCCCUAGUGAUUUGAUAACAUGUACUGGAAUGUUUGCACUGGACGCUGUGGAGGCCGCCCCUAUGCGGAAGGAGUGGCCCGAAUAGUUAGCUGAUUUUAGGCCUAGUUGUGUAAGUAGGGACCUGACGUGGGUCAUGAAGGUGGUGGUAGUGAGUACCGAACCUUGUAGACAGAAAAGUGGUUGAGAUGGUGAUGCUUUGAAAUGCUGAGUAUAGGUGUCCAGUAAUGUGACGGGGCACCACACGUUGUGGGUAGGAUAGUAUCUAACCUCUACCGGGGGUGCGUGUUGAUUGGUUUUGGAGUGAUGCAGAGCUAAAAUAUAGUAAUCCAUGUGUUUCGUUAAGUGUGAAUGAAGCAGAAUGUGAGUGGACUUGGAUGUGUUGAUGGCGGUAAAUUCUCUUGGUCUCAAGAAACCAUAAAAAGCUACGUAUAUGGCGGUUUUUAUAACAAGGUUUGUGUUGUUCGCAAAGGGUUUUGAAUCUAGUAGGCUGGAUAAAUCCUUGAAGAUAUUGAAGUCUAUAGGUAGCCUUUGCGCGGUACGUGGGGGUUCGGAUCUCUGGAUACCUCUAAGGAUGUUUUUGAUCUGGUAGGAGGACAUGAAACUUGUGUUGUUUGGUUGUAAUGUUAGCAUGUGAUGUUGUAUGCCUGUCAGAUAUAGCUUGAUUGUGUUGUGAGAUAAUUUAAGUUUGAGGUGGCAAAAAGAAGCAAAACCUAACAAAGAUGUCAUGAUGAAAGGUUGUGUGACGUUGUGCAGUGACAGGAAUCUUUUAAAUAGAAGGAAAGCCCUGUCAUAUGUUCUCCGGGUAUUGGUGGACAGUGCUAAUUGUGCCAAUGUCCUGCUAUGUUGCAUAAUAGCUUCUAGUCCAUGACUAGCUGGUGGAAAGGUGGAGUGGUCGUGGCUGUACGUGCGGCUGACGGAAGUAUUUGCCGAAAAGCCUGAAAACUGAAACGAGACAAAUUGUCAGCAGCCGUGUUACAAACACCUGGGACAUGGACACAAAACAAGAAGAAAUUGUGGCAUGCAGCUAGCCAGGUGAGUUUCCUCAAGAACCUCAUAAUGGUCAGUGACUUGGAUCGGCCUUUGUUUAUGAUGUGGCAGGUAGCUUGGUUGUCUGAGUGGCAACGUACUGACGAACCUGCCCAUAGAUGCCCCCAUGUAACGGCAGCUGCUACUAUGGGAUACAUCUCAAAUAGAGCUGAGGUAGUGGAAAACCCUUCCAGGUCCUGUACCUCUGGAGGCCAGCUACCCCAAAGCCAUUCAUUCCCGUAAAUUGCUGCAAAACCUGUGGUAGACGCCGCGUCUGACCAGAUGGUAGGUGAGGAGUCAGACAAUUCAGGGAGAAACAUGCUUUUCCCAUUCCAGGUGGUCAAAAAGUUUCUCCACAUAAGUAGGUCUGCCGUGGCUUGGGUAUCCAGUGGUAACCUGUGUGCAUCAUGUCUAAACAGUGGGAACAUGGUUAGGAGCCGUGAGAUGAAAGCCCGGCCUUGAGGUAUUAUGCGCAUGGCAAAGUUCAGUGACCCAAGUAGAGACUGUAAUUCUUUGCGAUUGCAAGUACCGAGGUGUAUGUAGAGGUUAAUGUUGGUGAGAAUGUUCUCUAUCUUGGUGCGUGGCAGGCUGGCUUGCAUGGUGGCUGAGUCUAGCAUGAUUCCCAGAAAGGUGAUGACUGUAUCUGGUCCUUCAGUUUUGGUGGGGGAGACUGGAACACCCACCUGUUUAAAAAGACUGAUGGUUGCUAUGAGGCUACUGGGAGGGGAAGUGUUCUCUUCGAUCAGUAAGAAAUCAUCCAGGUAGUGUAUAACUGUAGGGCAUCUGGCUACAUUUAAUAAUAACCAGCAUAAUGUUUCGGCGAAUACGUCGAAAAUGGCCGGACUACUUUUUGAACCAAACGUUAGGCGUGAGAAAAAGUAGUAGUGCCCGGCCCACUUAAUGCCAUGCAGGUGCCAUAGUGUAGGGUGGAUAGGCAAUAAUUUGAAGGCAUUUGUAAUGUCAGUCUUGCUGAGCCAUGCUCCGACCCCUGCCUGCAUGAUAGCUGUAAUGGCGUGAUCUAUGGUGGAGUAUUGAAGUGAAAAUUCCUCAGAGGGGAUAAGGGAGUUCAGACUAGGUGAGGCAGAGGUGUGAGGUGCAGACAGAUCGAUGAUAAGUCUUUGUUUGUGGGAAGAUUUCCCUGUGACAAUACCGAUGGGGUUUGUCCGCCAUGUGGAAAAAGGAGGGGACUGAAAGGGUCCCAAUAGGAAGCCCUCUGCCACUUCUUUGGCUAUGAGUGUGCUAACCGCUGUAGGGUUUUGUUGUGCAGAUUGUAAAUUAGGACAUUCAAGGAUUCCUGAAGGCAUGUGUAUGAGACCAGUAUGGAAUCCUUGUGAUAGACCAGUGAUGAUGAAGUCUACCAAAUGUCUGGAUGGAUGUCGUGACAGUAAUGCCGUGAGUACAGAAAUAUUUAUCUCGGUUAAGUAUUGCUUAGGGUACAUUUUAUUUGGACACAUGGUUUUCGCAUGUGCCCUAAAACAUUUUGAACAUAUAUGCAAUAACCGACAACCGCUGUAAUUACAUGCACCGACAUUGAAAUUAUUACAUAUUUGGGACUUCCCCAAAAACUUGAUAGGUCGACCCAGUUUGUCUUUGGGUGUUCUCUCUGCUGACACAGCGGAGCUAGUGCCCUGCGAGGUGGUAGGUUCGUUCGCAGUGGUCGGACAAAAAUUGGCAGUAUGAGCCAUGGAGGAGCAGUGUGCACAGGCCGGUGCUCUUAGACCUGCAAAGUGCCUGCAAAAAUGAUCGUAUCAAUCUUACUCCAGUUGGACCUUGUCCCGUACUGUGAGAAGGCGCCAGACACUUUGGCAGAAAAGGAUCUAUGGUAGUCAUAGAAAGCUGACCCACCAUAUUUGUUGCCCAGAUCAACCAGCCUGUGCAUAUAUAAGUCAAACUCCUCACGUCUGUGGGGAUAUACCGUACAGACCACAUCCCGAUAAAUGCCAAAAGCUAAUACAAAUUCUGGAAUGGUUAGCUUCCUAUUUAAUCGUGCAUCCCUGGAUUUGACCACCACAGAAAUAUCGUCAUAAGCGUAGGUCUUAUGUUCCACUAUAUCCUGGGAGGCAAUUAGUAGUGAGGCCAGAUUGACAUCUUUACCUUCCAGGAUAUCUCUCCUGAGGUGCUCAGGAAUCAUGUGGGCAGGGUAAACUUCUUGGUCAUCCGAGGUGAUAGCUGGAGAAACUGAUUGCAACUCCACCACUGAUGGGGGAAUUGCCGUGGCCGGUCCAGCCAUAGUGAGGGCUGUAGUGACCGAUUCAAGUUUCUCCAGCCUAGAAUUGACCUUGCUCAUGGAUGUCAUGAGGGACGUGAGCAUGUCAUGUAUGUUCCCUGGGUGGGACUGGCUCGACCCUUCCCCAGCGUCCGUGUUAUCGGUUGAGGUGUGUAAUAAUCUGUAAAGUUCCGCUUUCCUUGCUGUUGCUGGAAAAGGGAUUUGUCGUCUCCUGAGUUCGCUAGUGAUACGAGGGAUAGUCCAUUACCUCCGAAACGUUGAGGCGGGGUGUUGGCCUCGCGGACCACUAAACGAUAGGCAGAAUGCCUGGAGGGGGGAUACCUAUUUGGGCCUAUAACCCCUAAAAUUGCCAGUACUCUAUGUCCUAAGUAGAGGAGGAACCAUAUGUGAUGUAUGGCGUGAGCAGGCUUAACGUACCUGGUAGUAUGUAUGCGUUUGAUAAGCGAUAGGUAGAGAAAACUGGAAAAACCUAAAGGGAUAGAAAAACCAAAUAUGAUAGUGUGAGAAUUGGAUCCUAUGAUACCAAUUUAGACUAGUUAGUUGUGGUGAGUUCUAGUAGUACAUAUGGAAGGGAAUAUAUGAAUGAUAUUGGCCCGACUGGCCCUGUCUGUGGUAUGGUAAUCAUGCUUGGGGGUGUGUAUGAUAUGUCUCUAUGGUGACCAGAUUUAAUAGUAAUGCUAGUGUUUGUAGUAUAAUAAGGUGCAGGAUUUAAAACAAUACCGUAUAUGUUAGGCCGUAAACGUAAGCCAUGAAAAGAGGUAAGUACGAGGUACAGAAAUAUUUGAGAAGUUAUCCCAAUUAGGAAACAACGUGAUGUAUGAGUGGUUGAAUCAAGACGUGUGAUUCAACCCGAAAGUUUGUGAGAUUUAUGAGACCGUGUUCUUGUGUACUUGGUAUGUCGUUUGAGUACACAAAGAAAAAGUCAGAAUAUAUAAGUGCCAUGUAAGAAACGUGAGUACAUGGUAUGAUAGAAACGUAAUUUCUAAACAUAAUUUAUAACGUAAAUCCUACAAAAGAUAUCUGUAAAAUGUAAAAGCUUGUCUAAGCUUAACUCCAUAAAUAAAUGUAUAUAACAUGAAGAAUUUCAAUAAAACUUUAAUGAUACCAUAUCUGCUAAAAGAUUAAACCAUAACCUAAAUAAACACUUAUUCAUAAGUAGUUAACAGGGGUAUUGCCCCAGUCAUGCAAGGAUUUUGUAAUUUGCAUAAAAUAAUUAACAGUAAUAACAUGAAACCAAUUAUAGCUGAUGAUAUGCAUAACAAGUUUGCUUAAUACAAGAAAAACCGAACCGAUAUGCCUGCCGGCAGCAAAGGGGUUAAUAUGCCUGUGACUUGGCCGUAAAGCGUGUGGCCGUAAAGUAAGGCCGUUUAAAAUCGCGACGCCGUGGGAAAUGAUCCGGGCGACGGACUUACGAUUUUGAAGUCCUGUGGACUUAAUCUGCGACGAAAACACCGGGUAUGUGCGUGGCUGAACGGGCGGAAAACCUGUAAGGAUUCCUGGACACAGCUACACCAAAACGAAAACCGCGGGUUUUGAAAAGCAAGAUGGCGCCGUACGUGAACCGGAAGUGGAUUCUCGAUGCAGCGCUGACCUCGAACGGUAUGGAGCCAGGUAAGGGGUGUCCCUUAAGUAGGGAGAAGGUGAGUCAUACGCCCCUCCCACAAUUACAGGCCAAAAGGCCUUAAUACAUAUCAAAAUACACGUAGAACGAAAUAAUAUAUAUAUCUAUAUACAUAAAUAUAUACGUAUAUAUACCUAUAUAUAAAUAAAAAUAUUUUUUAAAAAUUAUAGAUAUAUACAUAUAUAAACAUAUACAUAUAUAUAUACACAUAUAUUAAUUCUACAUAUAUAUUUAUGUAAUAUUUUUACAUUAUUAGGUAUCUUAAUUAAUUACAAUUAGCAGGACCUCCCAUGCCAAAAGUAAAGGGAAUUUAAUUUGCUAGCACUAUAUUUAACCCUAUAACUUUCCAAGACACCAUAAAACCUGUACAUGGGGGGUACUGUUCUACUCGGGAGACUUCGCUGAACACAAAUAUUAGUGUUUUAAAACAGUAAAAUGUAUUACAACGAUGAUAUCGCCAGUAAAAGUGAAGUUUUUUGCAUUUUUCACUCACAAACAGCACUUACACGGACGAUAUUAUUGCUGCGAUACUUUUUACUGUUUUGAAACACAAAUAUUUGUGUUCAGCGAAGUCUCCCGAGUACAACAGUACCCCUCAUGUACAGGUUUUAUGGUGUUUUCAAAAGUUACAGCGUCAAAUAUAAGGCUUGCGUUUCAUUUUUUUCACAUUAAAAUUCGCCAGAUUGGUUAGGUUGCCUUUGAGACCCUAUGGUAGCCCAAGAUUGAAAAUUACCCCUAUGAUGGCAUACCAUUUGCAAUAGUAGACAACCCAAGGUAUUGCAAACGGGGUAUGUCCAGUCUUUUUUAGUAGCCACUUAGUCACAAACACUGGCCAAAAUUGGCGUUUUUUGCAUUUUUCACACAAACAAAUACUAACGCUAACUUUGGCCAGUGUUUGUGACCAAAUGGCUACUAAAAAAGACUGGACAUACCCCAUUUGCAAUACCUUGGGUUGUCUACUAUUGCAAAUGGUAUGCCAUUAUGGGUGUAAAUUUCAUUCCUGGGCUACUAUACAGUCUCAAAGGCAACAUAACCAAUCUGGCGAAUUUCAAUUUCAAAUGUGAUGUACUAUAUUUGACCCUGUAACUUCCCAAAACGCCAUAAAACCUGUACACAGGGGGUACUGUCUUACACGUGAGACUUUGCUGAAUACAAUGUCAGUGACAAUGUAUAAUAUAAUACAGAUACUAUAAUUAAUGGUAUAAAAUAAACACAUAAUGUGUUAAUUACAAAGGUGGAUAGACUUUGUGAAUAUCUGAAACACAAUUGAAGAUUAUUGCUAAAAUGCCAUAUGCAGCUGCAGUCUGGCCUACAAAUAUAUUAGACAAAGUAUAAGGGCAUAACAGCUAAUUACCCAAAUGAAUAAUGGAAUCAUGAUAAUUAAAGAUCAUAUGAUUAUGAUAACAGCUGCAAUAAUGAAUGUUUUUAACCUCAAAAGAAAAUUUAAAAUGUUUUUAUUAAAUCAGAAACUACUCGAUAUUCGUUUAAGUUUGCAGAGUGGUAUAAUUAAUAUAAUCUAAUUAAUAUAAGUGAAGUACUUCAACAGUUAAGAUUUAACUGAAAGACAAGCAGAAACCUUACUUCACUUAUCACAAACCUAUAUUUACAAUGAUAAACAUAUUCAGUCUGCCAGAGCUAAGGCCAGUCAAUGGAAAGUAAAAGAGUAUUGUGGAUUAACCCGUCCAGGUGAUAUACAUGAUGAUUUUGGAAAUUGAUCAUUUAGGUCACUUAUUGUAAACUAGUGAAAAGAUGUCAAAGAUAUAGAUUCAACAUCCAUACCACUCUCUCUCUAUAUAUAUUAAAAUACACGUAAUCAAAUAUUUUUCAAAUACCAAGAAAAUGUUAUUUGGUUUGUGAUGGUUAAAGGUACAUAUACAUGCAUAUGAUUAUUAAUUCAUAUUCUGAUUGUAACAUACCCCCCCCCCUCCCCUUCAAACAGUUAUAGUUACAACAGAUUCUGAUAUAUAUUGUUAUGAAAGUGUUAAAACCACUUAUACAAAGGUAGAGUUAAAAUAUAAAUACCUUCAAUAUAGUAUCUGAGUGCUUUCUUAACUCACUUUUAGAGAUAAUAAAAAAUUCUAAUCAUCUUAAGCUACACCCAACAGCCACUGAAAAAAUAUACUUAACCCCUUAAGGACACAUGACAUGUGUGACAUUUCAUGAUUCCCUUUUAUUCCAGAAGUUUGGUCCUUAAGGGGUUAAACAAUUAAGAUUCACAGUGUUAAGCAUCCAAUCUCACAAACGGGACUUUCCACAAUGGCUGUCAGAUCUUGGUUAAAAAAAAAAAAAUGUUUUUAAGACAAUUUUUGGGUGUUUCUGGUAUUGUAAGCCACUAAUAACUAGGGAAUAAGUUGUCUUCUCCCUAACAGGUCAAAGAAAGAUAAUUAACGUCAUAUUUCCAAUUAGCAACUAUUCGAAAUAGAUUGAGAGAUUUUGAAUAAAGGAGUAUUUUUAACAUUUAAAGAGAAUGUAAUUUUACAUACCAUUGUGAACAAAGGCGGUAAAUACUUUGCUGCUUCAAAUUAUCCUUUUAUAUCUUCAUAACUUCAAACAUUUAUGUCUUUACACUAUAUUCACAAUCAGUGCAUUGUAGUAAACAUUUUGAAAAGUUUAGAUACUCCUGUUAUUUUACAUCUAGAUCAUUACACUGAUGAGUAUUUACUAAAAGAACACAUUUUGUAAUAUUUAAAUAUUGGUCUUAAAAUUGAUUACAUUUGGUAUUUUUCCAUUUGAUUUGCACAACAUAAAUGCUUUGAAGGUGUAAAAUAUAUUUUAUGGAGGCACAACUUACAAAGUUAAACUUUUUGUUGUAAAUACAGUUGUAUUUUUUGCAGUAGAUCCGUAGACCAGCUCUGCACAUCUCGAUGAGUUAUUGUCCAUUCUUAGCCAGAUUGCUUCAACUUAGUCAACGACCGCUUUUUUUCAGAUUUCCAUUUCAGAACUUUCCAGUUCUUGAGUGCCCUCCAUACCCAGUCACUGGGUUUUAGUGGAGAACCUGCUGUAGGUAGAUGUAAGGCUUACUGUGUCUGCGUCCCAAUAGUAACUAUGUUACUAUUUCAUCUAUCAUUAUUAUACAAAGUAUAACAAAUGUAAAGAUUUUUUUUCAUAGAUGUUUCUUUGAGCAAUAACCUCAGUGCAUAAUAUGUUUGCGCCAUUUUGUCCCAGACGAAUUACAAUAACAAUAAUGCAUAAACAAGCUUCAAGGCUAUGCUAUGACUCUUUCAGUACGUAAUAUACUGUGGUAACCUUAGUAGAUAAGGAUGUUCAGACUUUAAGAUGCCAUCUUGAACUAAGUCAGGAACAUUUCCAUGACGUAUACACCCUUUAGUUAUGGCCUUGUAUGUUUGCCAAAUUAAGGGAGGUCCUAAAAUGAAUAAAGUAAAAUAAGUGUUACUUUUUCAUAUAUGAACUACGGUAACCCUAAAAUGAAGACACCUAAGGUAUAAAUAGGUGUACUUUUAAAUGUUAAGACACAGAGGAGAGACUUGGAGACAGACGCUGCUUCAUCUUAAAAUGACAGAGAGGCUGACAUGAUGACGUUCAGAAGGGUAUGUUAACCUAUUAAUGAUAUUUGCAAGCAUUUAAUUUAAUCUUAGAAACUCUGCUAUAAUGGAUUUUAUAUGUCUAUAUUUAUAUUUUUUUAUAAUAAAUAUCUAAAAGACAAAACUAUUGCUUACACUAACUAUAUAAAAUUAUAGCUAAGAUAUCUGUAUGGUUAGCCCUACUAAGUUCUAUGCUUUAAGACAUUAUAGUGGUAAAUAAGGGAACCACCUGCGGUUACACAAGAAAUGCACCGCAGGCCGCAAAUGGUUUUUUUUGUGUGUCCCAAUAUUUUGGGGGCUUCCCCAAUUAAAAUAAAUAUACAAACCUAGCCACUUGUAACAAUCUGGACUAUGUGUAUAAAAAGGUUGCCUGUAUUAUUCCUGUACUUCUUGUAUUUCCUGGCUGUACCCUGUGUGUUAAUGUGGUGUGGGCCCUUAAAAAGUUACAGCCGUAUCUCUACGGACAUUCUUUUUCCGUGCUCACAGAUCACAACCCGUUGGUGUGGCUAAACCGUGUGGCUGGAGACAAUGCCAGGCUGCUGCGCUGGAGUUUGGCGCUACAGCCUUUUGAAUUCACAAUCCAUUAUCGCCCGGGAAAACAAAACGGUAAUGCCGACGGCUUAUCCAGACAGACUGAACUUGUGAAGUGAUCUGUGACCACUCCUCUGGACAUCCCCAAGCCGAUCCGUUGGGAUCAGACUGUGUAUGCCGGCUUGGUUCUUCGGGAGCAUUGUGGCAAACCUUGCCACUUGUAACAAUCUGGACUAUGUGUAUAAAAAGGCCUGUAUUAUUCCUGUACUUCUUCUAUUUCCUGGCUGUACCCUGUGUGUUAAUGUAUGCUGCAUUGAAUUCGUAUGCUAGCUGCCGAAAGCCGCUAGCAUUCAUGUGUUUCGUUUCACGAACAGCAACAUUGCGGGCUGUUCGUAAACCGAAUGAGCUACCCCUUAAUAGCCCACACAGAGAGGGAUGUGUGGCGCUCGUUAACCGAUUGCAACAAUAUUGCAAUCGGUAAUUAGAGGCUUUCCUAGGUGGCCGUCGUUCGGCUACCGACCACGCGGCGGUCGGCCAUCUUGGAUCCUUUGUCUCCCCAGCGGUGUUUGGUCGUCAAGCGCUUGGAACUGAAAACGGCUACUCGACGGCGCGAACACCGCUGGGCUUCCAGGCCGUUCAGGAGCUCCGGUCUUUCGCUAUUAGGGUUUCCUCAUCGGUGUUCGGUACUUUGGGGCGAACUCAAUGGCAAAGUGUAUUUUGUGCGGCGUUCGGUUGUUUUAGCUGGGAUCUGAGUGGUAUUCUCACGAACUGUGCACUCAGACCCCAGCUAUCUACCGAACGUCCAUUCAUUUAAAUCUGCCAAGUAUUCGAAAAGUUAUAGAUUUUAAUGUAAAUUGUCGGUUCUGCUGCACAGAGGGAUAAUCCACUUAACGGUAUAUUCCAGUGGGAGUAUCCCUCUCGUGCAGCAGUGCCUGAUGGGAGAAAAGGUCUGAAUAUAAAGUCCCCCAUGUAGUCCCCUACUGUAUUACCCCUGCUAUGACAGUAUUGAAACCCCUUACACGGGGACUUGCAUAAAUACUGGAUGCUGUGAAUAAAAAAGUCAGUUGACUCCCAGAACUGUGUUUCGUGCGGUUACUGGGGGAUUUGGGAUAUUGCCUUACUUUUCAGCGCUUGACUGUGGAUUACCUUCUGUACCAGCGGAGUUCGUGGGAUUUAAUAUUGCCGCUCCGCUACAAUUGGUGGCAAGCAACGGGAUCCAACCUUACAGCCGAAAAGCGCCGUUCGGAUAAAGAGAAAUUACCGAACGAGAAAAGGGAAUGUCAAUUCGUAUGCAGCAGACAACCGAAAGAGAAAAGUGAAUGGGGACGGAUUACACUGCAUUGAAAAGGCAGACACUAAAGGAACUGCUGGAAGCCAGGGGAAAGAUAGCCAGCAACAAGCCGAAAGCAGUGCUGAUGGAGGGAGACAGAGCUCACAGCAGUACACCCCCACCAGCCAUGGAGGAAACCCCAUACCAAAGGGAGAUGCGAACCAGGAUGGAGUUUCUGCCGCAGUCAGUACCCCUUGAAAUAUUGACCGUGCUGAUGGCGGAUGUGCAGGAGUAUAUCAUGGCACACCGUCCAGGGCGGAAUCCAUUACUGCCUCCAUCUACGGCCAGGUAAAACCCAAAAUCCCUUACCAGGCUUUCAAAAUGUUUUGUGAGGAGAAGGAUGAGAUUGAUGGAUAUUUACAAGAUGGAACAGGCAGUAUGGGUGCCGUUACUGGCAGGCAAAUUGGCAGGUCGGGCAGCAGAAGCCUAUCGCGCUGUACCCAGAGAGGACAACAAAGACUAUGCAAAGGUAAAAAGAGCAAUGAUGGAAAAAUACGCCAUUACUCCGGAGGCAUAAAGGCGCAAAUUCAGAGAAUUGCGCAAACAGGAGAAAGAUUCUCAUGCUGAAUGGGCGCACAAGCUGGAUCAAGCAUCACAGGGGUGGAUACAGGCAAGUCAAGCCACCACUAUGGAGGAGUUGUGCCAAUUGAUGUUGUUAGAGCAAUUCUUUAAUGGUUUGUCCCCAGAGGCACAAGAAUGGGAGACCGCAAACCUCUCACCCUAACUGAAGCAGCCCGAUUAGCAGGUCAACAUUUCGACGCAAGGAGGCACCAUGGGCCCUUAAAUCGGAAUUACCCUCGAAACACUGUACAGCCCAGUACAGUCACACCUACGACUUCCACCGCAACCCCCUUUAGACCGACCCAGGGGAACCAACCUCCACCCUCACGAUACAAUGGCAGGGCAAACAUCCAAUGCCAUACCUGCAGGCAGUGGGGACAUAUGUCUCGAGAGCACGCAGAACAGGAGCCGACAAGCCUGGAACCAAGUCCGACAGAACUCUGCACCUAGGGCCGCUGCUCAUCACUACCAAGUGGAACCAGACACCCAGGAGAUAUUGAGCGUUCAGGCAGAGGAACCCCUGGGAAUACUGCAUGAGGUGAUGUCAGUACAAGCCACUGACAACCGGCAACAUCAUCGCCAACUAGUGACAGUAGAGGGAAAAGAAGUACAGGGACUCCGGGAUUCAGGAGCCACCUUAACUUUGGUAGCACCCCAUCUGGUUCCAGAUACAGCACACACUGGCAGAUCUGUGGCGGUACGAGUGGCAGGGGGAGCAAUGUACCGACUACCCACUGCCAAAGUACAUUUGAACUGGGGUGCUGGGGAGGGGGUGGUAGAAGUGGCCAUAAUGAAGAAGUUACCUGCAGAUGUGGUGCUAGGAAAUGACUUGGGCCGGAAGACCUCUGCAUUUAUACCGCAAGCCCCACUUCAGGAAGCUCAUCCCGUGACCACCCGGCAGCAAGCUCGCACCACGGUUCCACCAACACACUCUGAGGCUCAGGUAAGAGACAAUGACACCCCUACGACACGUAUGACCUGGGAUACCCCGAAUACAUUUGAGGCAGAGGUUAAGUUAGACCCCACGUUGCAGGUCUACCGAGUCCGGGUGAGCACAGAUCAGGCCGGGUUAGAGGGGGAGCGGUAUACCUGGGAGAAAGGGUUGCUGUAUCGUGUGGCAGAAAGAGUAAUAGGGGGAUCAGUCACGGUAAUGACUAAACAGUUAGUGGUCCCCCAGAAGUAUAGGCAGGAACUGCUUGGAAUUGUGCAUGAUAUUCCUUUGUCUGGGCAUCUGGGAAUGACCUGUACCCGGUACCGGCUGACCCACGCCUUUUUCUGGCCAGGGAUUUCCAAAGAUGUGAGACAUUACUGCAACUCCUGUGACAUUUGCCAGCGAGUGGGGAAGAGGGGUGACCACCACAAAGCAAAAUUAUGCCCCCUACCCAUUAUUGAAGAACCAUUUAGCAGAGUGGCAGUAGACAUAGUGGGACCCUUGCCCAAGCCUAGUCUCUCAGGUAAGAGGUAUAUCCUGACCGUAGUGGACUACGCCACCCGGUACCCCGAGGCUAUCGCCCUGUCUAAUAUCCAUGCAGAAACUGUGGCCGAGGCUUUAAUUAAAAUCUUCUCCAGGGUUGGGUUUCCCCAGGAGAUAAUAUCUGAUAGGGGUACCCUGUUCACCGCCGAGGUCACCCAGCAACUGUGGAGGAUAUGUGGCAUCAAGCCGAUAGUAAACUCAGCAUAUCACCCCCAGUCCAACGGUUUAUGGGAAAAGGUUUAAUGGUACCCUGAAGCAGAUGCUCCGUACGUUUGGAGAGGCCCAUAAGGACUGGGAGCGAUUCCUACCUCAUCUGCUGUUUGCUUAUAGAGAGGUACCACAGGAGUUGACUGGAUUUUCCCCUUUUGAGUUGUUGUUUGGGGGAAGGGUGAGAAGGCCGUUGGACCUAAUUAGAGAGCAUUGGGAGGGAGAGAGUAGCGCUGAUGGGACCCCCAUUGUACCUUACGUGCUGGAGUUCAGGGACCGCCUGGAGAUUGGUGCACACGGCCUGGGUAUGACAGGGGAGCCAGAGACCGCAGCUUUCAAGUGGGACAGAAUUUUUUUUUUAUUUUAAAAUCUGUCCGCACAGACAAGCUGCAGGCCAUCUGGCAAGGCCCAUACCAGGUGGUGGAACAGAGAUGUGACACCACCUUUGUGAUUGGCCCUGCUUAGGGGUAGGGAAGAGACGCAUGUGUGGCAAAACCGACCUCGCCACGUGUCCUUGGAGGGGGCUGCUUGCCCGCCUCUUGCCUUUGGACUAUGACCCUGCAGGUUAAACUGUUUAUUUUCCCUGCAGAAAGGCUUAUUCGUGUGAUCUGAGUGCCAUUCAUCUAAUAAUGUGCAGUCAGAUCCAAGCUAUCUGGGGAUAUGUAGAAAUGUGUGUUUUAUGUACUAAAUGUGUCAGUAUGUAAUUUUAUGUCUUUUACUGUCUUUUGUCUGCCAUGUGGGUAAUGGAGUUUGGCUCUGUCUUUGGAGAUAAUUAGAUUCCUUCUCCAAUUAUCUCCAGGGCAGAAGGGAGGAAGCCAGGAUGCAUUGUGGGGAUGUUUUACUUUUACUGUUUGAGCCAGGGGGAACAAAAGAUACUUUUACUAACUUUUGAACCCCUGGUCUGAUUCAUGCCAUUUUUUAAUAUGUUGUUCCCCUGAAUGGAUUGAUUGUGAAUAUGUAUUUUUAUGCGAAUGUGAUGUAUAUUUUGGGAGUUAUGAAUGUUGUGUAAAAACUGUAUUUUCCCUACCUAUGAUAAUUGUAUUUCCCUGUGUGUACAGAUAAUUAGUUUACAGGUAGAGGGGAGGGCUAUGUGUGGGAUGUAACUAUUGUGUGAUUGGUUAAUGUACGUUACUGUGUGUGUCCCUCCCCUUCAUGGGAGCACCUAAUAAAAAGGGCUGCAAGCUAGCAGCCAGAGAGUUCUAUUUUUACCCUCAACUUGAGUCCUGUCUCUUAUUGGGGGAAUCUGCUACAAGGGAUUGCUAUGCUAGGCAUAUUCCCUUGCUAUAAUCACUGAGCUCUUGUAAGAGCUUGUUCCUGCUUCGUUCUGAAGGGAGAUAGCUGCAGCCUGCGGUGCUUAUGGUGUCUGGUGGAGUGCUUGGAGUCCUCUGGAAGCGCUAGGAGCAUCUUUCAACGGAGGUACCCAGUCGGGGUGCCAGGUGAUCCAUUACAUUGGUGGCAAGCGGCGGGAUGGCAUCCUAGUGCGAGGAGAAGCAGCUCGGAGACACCGGUAACGUGUGGAGUUGUGCAGCGUCCUUAUCUUCAGCAACAUAAUGGAACCAGCAGUGGCUACAGCAAGCAUGGCGUAUAGCUACUCCGUACUAGAGUUUGGCACGAUGGUAGGGUUGCACCUGAAGUUUUACGGACCCAAUCCAGAGGAGAAAUACGUGCGGUUCGUGUGGGACAUGGUGACCCGGAACCUACAACACAGGGCGUUGAGGGAAGGCCAGUGGGCACGUUGGGAGAAACUCCAGCCACAGGUAGAGUGGGACGAGGAAGAAACCGAGGUGGCCGGUGGAGAUGGGACCGAGGUCUCUCUACCGGCCCUACAGGGAUGCUGGGCACCCGGCCCAGAUCCCCAGCGGCAGUAUGUUUUACAGGGAGGGGAGACAGUCGGUCUCACUCCCCAGCGGCAGAAUGUGUUAUUGGAGGAAGAGACAACCGGUCUCCCUCCCCAACAGCAACCAGAGGUACCCGAGGUAGAGGACCUCAUAGACUGGUCCUGGGAGGACCCCCUGCAGGCAGGUGGAGAUGGGACCGAGAUCUCUCCACCGGCCCUACAGGGAUGCUGGGCAACCGGCCCAGAUCCCCAACUAGAGCUGGAGUUACAGAAAGUGGAGAGCAUCGACCUCCCCCCCCAGCAGCAGCCGGAGUACCAGGGGGAGGUAAGUGAUAUUUCUCCUCCCCAGCCAACUCCUUUGUUCCCUGACCCCCCAGCAGAAGAGCUGGCAACUGGGCAGAGCGCCGCUGGCCUCUGUCCUCCCUUGUUUCCUUCCCCUGAGCCUGACUUUCUACAGGCUGCCCCAGCGGAAGGUGCCGUCCUUCCUCCCCAGCCGCAGUGCGUACCCCAGGGAGCUGAUGGUGUCGUCCGUCCUCCCCAGCAGCAGUGUGUAACCCAGGGAGCCGAAGGUGUCGUCCUUCCUCCCCAGCGGCAGUGUGUACCCCAGGGAGCUGAGGGUGCAAUCCUUCCUCUCCAGCGACAGUGUGUACCCCAGGGAGCUGAAGGUGUCGUCCUUCCUCCCCAGCGGAAGUGUGUCCUGCAGGGAGCAGAGACAGUCAGUCUCACACCCCAGCAGCAGGACAAAAUAAUGAAAGGGGAGACAGCUGGUCCGCCUCUCCACCAGCAGAGAGAGUGUCAGGGAGAGGAGCCUGUUAACCCCUCUCCCCAGUGGCAGUUGACAGUCCAGAGAGAGGAGCUUGUUACACCCUCUCUCCAGCGGCAGCCUAACCCACCAAGGGGAGAUGUUGAGCCCCGCAACUGUGCAGAUGGGACCGUAGUCUCUGCGCUUACAGCCCAAGGGGUAGAGACGGUCGGUCCUGUUCCCCAGCCCCAGAGCUGUGUACCCAGAGGGGAGACGGUCGGUCUCCCCCUCCCACAACCAGGCUCCAAUCAGGCUACUUCGGUGGUAGCACUGGCACCAGGGCAGAGUACCGCUGGUCUCUGCCCACUCAGCAACCCACCAAGGCAGUCUACCAGCUCCCCACACAGCCGUGGUGAGGCACCUGGACAUGGACAAGUUGCUACUUUAUCCAGGUGGAGUAAACAUUUAUUGUGGGUGGGCUGUACUGCUGUUUGUGCUUCGUGGGUGGGUUGCUGGACUAACCAGGGCACUGACCGGCAGGAGGUCAGAUACCCUGUUAGUCUGGGGGGCAAAGGGGAGAAGUGUGGCAAAACCGACCUCGCCACGUGUCCUUGGAGGGGGCUGCUUGCCCGCCUCUUGCCUUUGGACUAUGGCCCUGCAGGUUAAACUGUUUAUUUUCCCUGCAGAAAGGCUUAUUCGUGUGAUCUGAGUGCCAUUCAUCUAAUAAUGUGCAGUCAGAUCCAAGCUAUCUGGGGAUAUGUAGAAAUGUGUGUUUUAUGUACUAAAUGUGUCAGUAUGUAAUUUUAUGUCUUUUACUGUCUUUUUGUCUGCCAUGUGGGUAAUGGAGUUUGGCUCUGUCUUUGGAGAUAAUUAGAUUCCUUCUCCAAUUAUCUCCAGGGCAGAAGGGAGGAAGCCAGGAUGCAUUGUGGGGAUGUUUUACUUUUACUGUUUGAGCCAGGGGGAACAAAAGAUACUUUUACUAACUUUUGAACCCCUGGUCUGAUUCAUGCCAUUUUUUAAUAUGUUGUUCCCCUGAAUGGAUUGAUUGUGAAUAUGUAUUUUUAUGCGAAUGUGAUGUAUAUUUUGGGAGUUAUGAAUGUUGUGUAAAAACUGUAUUUUCCCUACCUAUGAUAAUUGUAUUUUCCUGUGUGUACAGAUAAUUAGUUUACAGGUAGAGGGGAGGGCUAUGUGUGGGAUGUAACUAUUGUGUGAUUGGUUAAUGUACGUUACUGUGUGUGUCCCUCCCCUUCAUGGGAGCACCUAAUAAAAAGGGCUGCAAGCUAGCAGCCAGAGAGUUCUAUUUUUACCCUCAACUUGAGUCCUGUCUCUUAUUGGGGGAAUCUGCUACAAGGGAUUGCUAUGCUAGGCAUAUUCCCUUGCUAUAAUCACUGAGCUCUUGUAAGAGCUUGUUCCUGCUUCGUUCUGAAGGGAGAUAGCUGCAGCCUGCGGUGCUUAUGGUGUCUGGUGGAGUGCUUGGAGUCCUCUGGAAGCGCUAGGAGCAUCUUUCAACGGAGGUACCCAGUCGGGGUGCCAGGUGAUCCGUUACAGCAUGCUCCACGUGAACAUGCUCAAACCCUAUCAUGAGAGGAUAGAGGACGUGACAGCCAUUUGAACCCCAGCCUCUGAGGAUCAGGAGAAUCUGCCGCUACCUGACCUAUUAGAACAGGACGACCAGACAGAGCCCUCCAAGAGGGUUCAACUGGGGGAGCGGUUAAGUCCUCAAGAGUGAGCCCAGGUACAAGAAUUGAUUGCGGCUAAAGGAGCCACCUUCUCCAAUUUACCUGGGUACACUCCGCUAGCCACUCACCAAGUCGAGACCCCUGGACAGCUACCGAUGCGGCAGACCCCAUAUCGAAUCCCUGAAGCAGUCAGGGAACAUAUGAGGAAAGAGAUUGAGGAGAUGUUGCAGCUAGGGGUUAUUGAACAUUCCGAUAGCCCCUGGGCAUCGCCGGUAGUGCUGGUACCUAAGAAAGAUGGUACAACACGGUUUUGUGUGGACUACCGGAGGCUAAACGACAAAACGGUGUCUGAUGCCUAUCCGAUGCCACGGAUAGAUGAGCUGCUGGAUAAGGUGGCACGAGGCCAGUAUCUCACUACCAUAGAUCUAUGUAAGGGAUACUGGCAGAUAACACUAGUCGAGGAUGCCAUCCCCAAGUCGGCGUUUGUCACCCCGUUUGGCCUGUACCAGUUUCGGGUCAAGCCCUUCGGGAUGAAAAACACUCCGGCAACCUUUCAGCGGAUGGUAGAUCGGCUACUGGAUGGGUUCCAGGAAUAUGCCUGCGCAUAUCUGGACGAUAUCGCCAUAUAUAGCCAGACCUGGGCAGAACAUCUGCAACACAUAGGGGCUGUGAUUGAUCGUAUUGGAGAGGCAGGAUUGACACUGAAACCUAGCAAGUGUCAUAUAGGGAUGGCAGAAGUACAGUACUUGGGCCACCGGGUGGGAAGCGGGCAACAAAAACCCGAACCAGCUAAAAUUGAAGCCGUUGCUAAGUGGCCCACCCCUAGGACCAAGACCCAAGUACUCGUUUUCCUGGGCACCGCAGGGUACUGCAGAAAAUUCGUGCCCAAUUACAGUACCCUGGCCAAACCCCUGACUGACCUGACCUGCAAGAAUCUGCCCCGACAAGUCGUCUUUUGCUGCUCCUGAUCCAACUAAAUGAUUUCUUGUCCACACAGACGCUUCGAUGUUUGCAUUGGGAGCAGUGCUGAGCCAAGUUGGAGCCGAUGGCGGAGAACACCCUGUAGCAUAUCUAAGCUGGAAAUUGUUACCCCGAGAAGUAAGCUACGCCGCCAUAGAAAAACAAUGCCUGACCGUGGUGUGGGCCCUUAAAAAGUUACAGCCGUAUCUCUAUGGACAACCUUUUUCCCUGCUCACAGAUCACAACUCAUUGGUGUGGCUAAACCGUGUGGCUGGAGACAAUGCCAGUCUGCUGCGCUGGAGUUUGGCGCUGCAGCCUUUUGACUUUACAAUCCAUUAUCGCCCGGGAAAACAAAACGGUAACGCCGACGGGUUAUCCAGACAGACUGAACUUGAGAAGUGAUCUGUGAGCACUCCUCCGGACAUUCCCAAGCCGAUCCGUUGGGAUCAGACUGCGUAUGUUGGCUUGGUUCUGGGGGAGCAUUGUUGCAAACCUAGCCACUUGUAACAAUCUGGACUAUGUGUAUAAAAAGGUUGCCUGUAUUAUUCCUGUACUUCUUCUAUUUCCUGGCUGUACCCUGUGUGUUAAUGUAUGCUGCAUUGAAUUCGUAUGCUAGCUGCCGAAAGCCGCUAGCAUUCAUGUGUUUCGUUUCAUGAACAGCAACAUUGCUACCCCCUAAUAGCCCACACAGAGAGGGAUGCGUGGCGCUCGUUAACCGAUUGCAACAAUGUUGCAAUCGGUAAUUAGAGGCUUUCCUGGGUGUCCGUCGUUCGGCUACCGACCACGCGGCGGUCAGCCAUCUUGGAUCCUUUGUAUCCCCAGCGGUGUUUGGUCGUCGAGCGCGUGGAACUGAAAACGGCUACUCGACAGCGCGAACACCGCUGGGCUUCCAGGCCGUUCAGGAGCUCCGGUCUUUCGCUAUUAGGGUUUCCUCAUCGGUGUUCGGUACUUUGGGGCGAACUCAAUGGCAAAGUGUAUUUCGUGCGGCGUUCGGUUGUUUUAGCUCGGAUCUGAGCGGUAUUCUCACGAACUGUGCAUUCAGACCCCAGCUAUCUACCGAAUGUCCAUUCGUUUAAAUCUGCCAAGUAUUCGAAAAGUUACAGAUUUUAAUGUAAAUUGUCGGUUAUGCUGCACGGAGGGAUAAUCCACUCCAGUGGGAGUAUCCCUCUCGUGCAACAGUGCCUGAUGGGAGAAAAGGUCUGAAUGUUAAGUCCCCCAUGUAGUCCCCUACUGUAUUACCCCUGCUAUGACAGUAUGGAAACCCCUUACAGGGGGGCUUGCAUAAAUACUGGAUGCUGUGAAUAAAAACGUCAGUUGACUCCCAGAACUGUGUUUCGUCCGGUUACUGGGGAAUUUGGGAUAUUGCCUUACUUAUCAGCGCUUGACUGUGGAUUACCUUCUGUAUCAGCGGAGUUCGUGGGAUUUAAUAUUGCUGCUCCGCUACUAUAUAUAUAUAUAUAUAUAUAUAUAUAUAUAUAUAUAUAUAUAAAAAACAGUGUUGGCUACCUCCUCCUCCACCGCUGCUUCCACCUACACCAUCACGGUCACCGCCUCCUCAACCUAUGGGUCACUUAGUAUAAACUAUGUAGCAGAGGCUUGUAAAUGCCUUUUCUCCAUGCAUCAGAAGUUGAGCAUUUCUCCAUGCAUCAGGACUGCAAGAAAUGCACCGCAGGCCGCAAAUGUUUCUUUUUUUAUAUGUCCCAAUAUUUUGGGGGCUCCACAUUUAAACCCCCCCCCAAAAAAAACCCCCCAAAACAAAUAAAAAACAGUAUUGGCUACCUCAUCCUCCUUCUCCACCGCCGCUUCCACCUACACCGCCACGGUCACCGCCUCCUCAACCUAUAGGUCACUUAGUAUAAACUAUGUACACAAUAGUAGAGGCUUGUGAAGGCCUUUUCUCCAUGCAUCGGGAGUUGAGCUCAGUUUGAACAAUGAAAGAGAAUACCCUGCACUCCAACCCUCUCUCAAAUGGAUAAUUCUGGUGAUCCUCCUGACAGCCAUGCUUUAGAUUUUGAUUUAUGUUCUUCCAAAGCUAAAAUCAAAGAUUCCAUCUAGUGCUAUUUUAUUGUUCAGCUGUAUUUUUAAUUUUUAUGUUAUUUUAAGUGAUUUCCCUAUCCACAUUUGUUUGCAGGGCAGGGUCCUACUCUUACCCCCAUUUUACUUCCUUUUGCAGCUCUCUAGCCCUUUCCAGGAGAUUUUUAGAGGCAUUUUUGUGCCCACAAUUUCGGGUCCCCAUUGACUUCAAUGGGGUUCGGGUUCGGGGUCAAGUUCGAGCCUGAACCCUGAUUUUUUUUCAAAGUUCAGCCGAACCCGCCGGACCCGAACAUCCAGGUGUCCGCUCAACUCUACUAUUGAACCAUAAGAUCCUAAUUAGUAAUGCAGAGAGGACAUAAAGGAAAGGAUUGGAAAUAUCUCAGUCUGCAAGAUACCAUUCAAUCCCAUUCGGCAGAGAUCUUUAGAAACGUCCUUAAGGAACCGGCUUUAAAUGCCGGAGGCCGGCAUAGAAUGCCCAAACAGUCCUUUCUACUUACCUGGUUGCCGGCGAUCGCGGUAUGGGGACUCACCUGGGAGCCCAGGGAGUCCCCCUCUGUCCUCUUCGGCCCCCCUGAGCCAUGUGAUCAGUGGCGUACAUACCAGGGUCGCAGGGGUCGCGGCUGCGACCAGGCCCGGCCCACCAGGGGGCCCGGCCGCCCCUGCAACCUGGUAUGUACCCACAGGGCCAGCCUCUUCCCCUGGGGGGUCCAGGAGGCGGCCACCUCAGGGCCCCCCCGAGGCUGGCCCUGCUGUCACCGGUCGGGCAGGCGGGAGGGUGCGCGAGGGAGCACUCAGUGCUUCCUCUUCAGCUCCCUCGCGCACCGCACUGAUGCCGGAGCCGAAAGAUGACGUCAUCUUCCGGCUCCGGCAUCCCUAUGCGGCGCGCGAGGGAGCUGAAGAGGAAGCACUGAGUGCUCCCUCGCGCACCCUCCCGCCUGCCCGACCGGCCACCCGCCCAGGAGCCCAGCAGCACCACUGGACCUCAGGGAAUCCCCCCAGCACUCCAAAAGGUAAGGAGGCUGGGGGGAUUACAUUUUAAACAAAAUGUGUUUGUGUGUGUGUGUUAGUGUGUGUGUGUGUGUGUGUUUGUGUGUUUGUGUUAGUGUGUGUGUCAGUGAGUGUGUCUGUUAUUGGGUGUGUGUCUGCUAGUGAGUGUGUUACUGUGUGUGUCUGUUACUGAGUGUGUUUGAUGUCUGUUAGUGAGUGUGUGUUUGUCAGUGAAAGUGUAUGUUUUGUAAGUGAGUGUGUAUGUAUGUCUGUCGCUGAGUGUGUCUGUGUCAGUAAAUGUGUGUGUCUGUUAGCUAGUGUGUAUGCGUCUGUUCGUGAGAGUGUGUGUGUGUGUCUUCAGCAUUUACCUUUCUCCAACGUCGGACUCCCUUGGCGCUGGGGAUCCCUCCGCCUCUCAGCUCCGAAUGCACACACGCGGCAAGAGGCGCGCGCGCGCGCAUUUAAACCGCCCAUAGGAAAGCAUUACUCAAUGCUUUCCUAUGGACGUUCAGUGUCUUUCCACUGUGAUUUUCACAGUGAGAAUCGCGGAAGCUCCUCUAGCAGCUGUCAAUGAGACAGCCACCAGAGGCUGGAUUAACCCUCAGUGAAACAUAGCCGUUUCUCUGAAACUGCUAUGUUUUCAGCUGCAGGGUUAAAACUAGAGGAACCUGGCACCCAGACCACUUCAUUGAGCUGAUGUGAUCUGGGUGUCUGUAGUGGUCCUUUAAGUGUGUGUGCAUACCGCGGUCGCGGGGUCGCAGCCCUGCAACCCCUGCGACCAGGUGCCCACCGCCAUCUGUUGCGGCCCCAACCCGCGCCGAGUAAGCGCGGGGGCGGGCCCAUGGAUCAAUUUUCGCACCAGGGCCCCAUGGUUCCUUGAGAGGCCCUCAUGAUCACAUGGACAGCAUAGCUGUCCAUUGCAAUGCCAGCAGGAGGAGUGCCUGUGAUGACAGGCACUCCCUCUACUGUCUGCAAAAAAAAUAAUUAAAGUUUAAAACAGUGUAAAAUAACAUAUAUAUUUAGAUCAUAUAUAUGUAUUAUUUAUAUAUAUAAAACAAGAGGGGGUUGGCUGCACUCACCUUAUAUAUAUGAUCUAAGUAUAUAUACAUAUACACACAUACACUGUCUACGUGUAUUUUAAUAUUAAUAUAUAUAUAAUUAUAAAUAUAUAUUAAUAUCAAAAUACACGUACAAUAUUGAUUGAAAAAAUUUAAUUAAAAAAGUAAUAAAACAUACAUAGAAUAUAUAUAUGUAAAUUCGUUCUAACUGUAUUUUAAAAUUAAUAUAUAUAUUGAUAUCAAAAUAUAUGUAGAACAAAAUAAUAUAUAUCUAUAUACAUAAGUAUAUACGUAUAUAUCACUAUAUAUAUAUAUAUAACUAAAAUAAUUUUUAAAAAUUAUAUUCAUAUAUAUAUAUACACACACACAUAUAAAAAUUCUACGUAUAUAUUUAUGUAAUAAUUUUACAUAAUUAGGUAAUUUUAAUAAUUACAAUAAGCAGGACCAGUCUGGCAACGCAAGCCAAAAGUCCAGGGAAUUUAAUUUGCAAGCACUAUAUUUAACCCUGUAACUUUCCAAGACACCAUAAAACCUGUACAUGGGGGGUACUGUUUUACUUGGAAGACUUCGCUGAACACAAAUAUUAGUGUUUCAAAACAGUAACAUGUAUUACAACGACGAUAUUGUCAGUGAAAGUGAAAUUAUUUGCAUUUUUCACACCCAAAGGACAAUGGACAAUAUAAUUGUUGUGAUAUGUUUUAUGGUUUUGAAACACUAAUAUUUGUGUUCAGCGAAGUCUCCCGAAGAUAACAGUACCCCUCAUGUACAGGUUUUAUGGUGUUUUCAAAAGGUAGAGAGUCACAUAUAAGGCUUGCGUUUCAGUUUUUCCACAUUGAUAUUCGCCAGAUUGGUUACGUUGCAUUUGAGACCGUACGGUAGCCCAGGAAUGAGAAAUACCCUCAUAAUGGCACACCAUUUGCAAAAGUAGACAACCCAAGGAAUUGCAAAUGGGGUAUGUCCAGUCUUUUUUAGUAGCCACUUGGUCACAAACACUGGCCAAAAUUGACGUUCAUUAGUUUUUUGCAUUUUCAAAUAUUAACACUAACUUUGGCCAGUGUUUGUGACCAAGUGGCUACUAAAAAAGACUGGGCAUACCCCAUUUGCAAUACCUUGGGUUGUCUACUUUUGCAAAUGGUAUGCCAUCAUGGGGGUAAUUCUUAUUCCUGAGCUACCAUACUGUCUCAAAGGCAACCCCUUAAGGACUGAGCCAAAUGUACACGUUGUGAACAAAACAAAAUGUAAACAAAACCUGGCAUUUGCGCUAUAUGUCUGUCCAACCGUAAUUCACCUCUUUCAUAUUAUUUGCACCCACCCUUAUUAUAUAUAAUUUUAUUCAGGGGAAACAGGGCUUUCAUUUAAUAUCAAAUAUUUAGCUAUGAAACAUAAUGUAAUAUGAAAAAAAUGGGAGAAAAUAAGAUAUUUUUUAGUUCUUCAUUACAUUUUAACUGUCAAUGUCAUAAUACUGUUUCCUUUUACUGCAAUAAAAUACACAUAUUUGUAUUCAGCAAAGUCUCACGUGUAAAACAGUACCCCCUAUGUAUAGGUUUUAUAGUGUUUUGGGAAGUUACAGGGUCAAAUAUAGCACAUUACAUUUGAAAUUGAAAUUCGCCAGAUUGGUUACAUUGCCUUUGAGACUGUAUAGUAGCCCAGGAAUGAAAUUUACACCCAUAAUGGCAUACCAUUUGCAAUAUUAACCCCUUAAGGACCAAACUUCUGGAAUAAAAGGGAAUCAUGACAUGUCACACAUGUCAUGUGUCUUUAAGGGGGUAGACAACCCAAGGUAUUGCAAAAGUGGCUACUAAAAAAGACUGGACAUACCCCAUUUGCAAUACAUUGGGUUGUCUACUAUUGCAAAUGGUAUGCCAUCUUAGGGGUAAUUUUCAUUCUUGGGCUACCAUAGGGUCUCAAAGGCAACGUAACCAAUCUGGCAUAUUUUCAUGUGAAAAAAAUGAAACACAAGCCUUAUAUUUGACGCUGUAACUUUUGAAAACACCAUAAAACCUGUACAUGAGAGGUACUGUUGUACUCGGGAGACUUCGGUGAACACAAAUAUUUGUGUUUCAAAACAGUAAAAAGUAUCACAGCAAUAAUAUCGUCCGUGUAAGUGCUGUUUGGGUCUGAAAAAUGCAAAAAACUUCACUUUUACUGGCGAUAUCAUCGUUGUAAUACAUUUUACUGUUUUGAAACACAAAUAUUUGUGUUCAACGAAGUCUCCCGAGUAAAACAGUAACCUCCAUGUACAGGUUUUAUGGUGUCUUGGAAAGUUAUAGGGUUAAAUAUAGUGCUAGCAAAUUUAAUUCCCUAUACUUUCGGCAUGGGUUGUCAGGCAGGUCCCGCUAAUUGUAAUUAAUUAAGAUACCUAAUUAUGUAAAAAUAUUACAUAAAUAUAUAUGUAGAAUAUUAUAUAUAUAUAUAUAUAUAUAUAUAUAUAUAUAUAUAUAUACACGUAUAUAUGUGUAUAUAUAUAUAUAAUUUAAAAAAAAUAUAUUUGUACAUAGGUAUAUUUAUAGUGAUAUAUAUGUAUAUAUUUAAGUAUAUAGAUAUAUAUAUAUUAUUUCGUUCUACGUGUAUUUUGAUAUAAAUACAGUUGCAAGAAAAAGUAUGUGAACCCUUUGGAAUGAUAUGGAUUUCUGCACAAAUUGGUCAUAAAAUGUGAUCUGAUCAUCAUCUAAGUCACAACAACAGACUGUGAAUGUUUACAUGGUGUGUUCAAGAAAAACAUGGCAACAUUUAAUUCUUUGUGUGUUAUUAGUUUAAAGGACCACUAUAGUGCCAGGAAAACAUACUCGUUUUCCUGGCACUAUAGUGCCAUGAGGGUGCCCCCACCCUCAGGGACCCCCUCCCGCCCGGCUCUGUAAGGGGGAAAGGGGUAAUAACUUACCUUUUUCCAGCGCUGGGCGGAGAGCUCUCCUCCUCCUCUCCGCCUCAGAUCCGACCCGCCAGCUGAAUGCGCACGCGCGGCAAGAGCUGCGCGCGCAUUCAGCCCGUCGCAUAGGAAAGCAUUUACAAUGCUUUCCUAUGGACGCUUGCGUGCUCUCACUGUGAAAAUCACAGUGAGAAGCACGCAAGCGCCUCUAGUGGCUGUCAAUGAGACAGCCACUAGAGGAUUAGGGGGAAGGCUUAACCCAUUCAUAAUUAUAGCAGGUUCUCUGAAACUGCUAUAAUUAUGAAAAAAUGGGUUAACCCUAGAAGGACCUGGCACCCAGACCACUUCAUUAAGCUGAAGUGGUCUGGGUGCCUAGAGUGGUCCUUUAAGCAGACUGUGAUUGUCUAUUGUUGUGACUUAGAUGAUGAUCAGAUCACAUUUUAUGACCAAUUUGUGCAGAAAUCCAUAUCAUUCCAAAGGGUUCACAUACUUUUUCUUGCAACUGUAUAUAUAUAUUAAUAUCACAGUACAGUUAGAACAAAAUAACACACAUCUAUAUAUUUUUUAAUUAUUUUUUUUAAUUAUUUUUUUAAUUUAAUUUUUUAACGUAUUUACAUUUUAAUAUUAUAUAUAAAUAUAUAUAUAUAUAUAUAUAUAUAUAUAUAUAACAAUAAUUAUAUAUAUAUUUAAUCAGUAUCAGUCUACGUGUAAUUAACCUCGCAAGGACCUCACUCUCACAUGGCCGGAGGAGGCAGGAUCUGCCGCGGGGGACUCCCUGGAAUCCCAGGUGAGUCUCCCCAACCGCGUUUAGAGCCGCUUAGAAUAGGGCGUAAUAGUACGCCCUCCGGUUUUAAGGGGUUAACCCCUUCAGGACGGAGUCAAUAGUACAUGUUCUGAUCAAAACAAAAUGUAAACAAAAACUGGUAUUUGCGCUAUAUGUCUAUUCAACUGUAAUUCACCGCUUUCAUAUUAAAGGACCACUAUAGUGCCAGGAAAACAUACUCGUUUUCCUGGCACUAUAGUGCCCUGAGGGUGCCCCCACCCUCAGGGACCCACUUCCACCGGACUCUGGGGAGAGGAAGGGGUUAAACUUACCUCUUUCUCCAGCGCUGGGCGGGGAACUCUCCUGCUCCUCUCCUCCUCUCCAGCUGAAUUCUCAUGCGCGGCAGGAGCCGCGCACGCAUUCAGCCAGUCCAUAGGAAAGCAUUCACAAUGCUUUCCUAUGGACGCUGGCAUCUUCUCACUGUGAUUUUCACAGUGAGAAGCACGCAAGCGCCUCUAGCGGCUGUCAAGAGACAGCCACUGGAGGCUGGAUUAACCCUAUUAUAAACAUAGCAGUUUCUCUGAAACUGCUAUGUUUAUUUAAAAAAGGGUUAACCCUAGCUGGACCUGGCACCCAGACCACUUCAUUAAGCUGAAGUGGUCUGGGUGCCUAGAGUGGUCCUUUAAGUGCACCCACACUUAUUAUAUAUCAUUUUGUUGAGGAGAAACUGUGCUUUAAUUUUUCAUGAACUAUUCAUAUUUUAAACAUAAUUUAUUAUGAAUAAAAUUUAAAAACCUGUGAGAAAUUAAGAUUUUUAAAAAAAAUUGUAGACAUUUUAGCUGUAAAUGUCAUAAUACCGUUAGCUUUAACUGCAAAAAAAACACAUAUUUGGAUUCAGCAAAGUCUCACGAGUACAACAGUACCCCCCAUUAGCAGUUUUUACGGUGUUUUGGAAAGUUAAUUCUACAUCAUUCUAAGUGUUUUAACAUUAAUAUAUGUACUUAUAUUAACAUUAAAAUACAUACGGUAUCACGUUACAUAUAUAUAAGAUGUAUAUAUAUGUUAGAUAUAUAAUAUAUAUAUAUAUUUUAUAUAUAUUUAUAAAUACAUUUCUUUUAUAACAUGUUUAAUGCUUUUUUUUUUUCUACUUUCCCGACAGCAGGGGGACUGUCUGACAUUUCAGACAGUCCCCCUGCUGGCAGAUCAACAGCCAACUAUAGGGGGCCAUGUGAUCGCUCUUUGAGAGCGAUCACAUGGCCCCCCCAGGGGCCUCAUUUGCCGGGGGAGGGCUGCCUGUGCUGUCAGGCAGCCCUCCAGAAGAGGAUUGCGGCAGAGGUAAAUCCACCGGAGCACAUGGGGCUGAAAGCCGUUACGGUGUUCUAUGCCGCCGCAACUACUUUAAAGCCCAUUUAAUGCGGGACUGUAUAGAACGUCGUAACGGCGUUAAGGGGUUAAAACAAGAAUAAUAGAACGGUGGUGAAUAAGGUAUCUUUAUAUAUCUCCCACACCUAUGACCAUUAGCCUAGCCUACUUAAUAUUUAUAGUUGAUUAUGGAUUAUAUUUCCAAUCCGACCUUAUGGUGGGGAACAGUAUAGAGAUACUUACCUUCCGUACAUUAAAGUGACACUAGAGUCACCAGAACAACUACAGCUUUUUGAAUUUGUUCUGGUGAGUAUAAUCAUUCCCUACAGGCUUUUUGCAAUAAACACUGGCAUUUCAGUGAAAGUGCAGUGUAACGGCACCCCGGGCAUAAAAGGGUUAAACCAACGUUUAGAAGAUCUUCCCCUUCCAGAGACACAGGCACAGCUACUGUAGACACCCAUACACCGAACCGGAGAAGCAUAUGAAUUCUCUCAAGCAUAUGAAUGCUGUAAACAGCCGAAUAGGAAAAACCAUCCGAAUAGGUUUACAUUCCUAGCAGUCAAACUGGAACAGCAUACAGUAAAUCCCCCCAAGAACGAGACAAAGCUCCGUGUUGAGGGUCAAACAGUGAACAGACAAAGCUGUGGGUUUAUUGUUCUUAUAUACACAUUAGUACCACCCACAGGGUUUUGGAAAACAACCAAUAAACAAGUACAAUACACUCAGACAUUCCCACACAAAAUCCUCCCCUCUGCCUGUGAUACAAUUACCUUACACAAUGGGUAAUGUAAUUAUAACAGCCAGAGAAAUACAGUUUUUCCACAUUAUUCAUAACUUGAAAAGUAUGCAUCACAUUCACAGAAUCAGCAUACUCCAAAUACAAACAUAUGUCAAAAUCAUCCAAAUGGUUCAAAAGUUAGAUUGUAGUCCUUUGUGACCAAAGGAAGCAUGGCUUUUCUGCCCAAAACCAGUUCCACAGAGUAUUCUAUCCUGGAGAUAAUUGGGAAGUAAUCCAAUUAUCUCCAAGGACAGAGGCAAAACUCCAUUAAGCACAUGGCAGUAAAAAGACAGUAAAAUACAAUAAAACACACAAGGUUACAUUAUUACAUAAAAUACAGACAUGCAACAUAUCCCCAGAUAGCUUAGGUCUGAGCACACAUUAUUACUGAAUGGCACUCAGACUACACACAUACAGUUCAAUUGCAAUGGAGCCAAAGUCUUUCCCAUAGUCUUUCAUUAUACGAAUGGACUCCAUGUCAUAGCUAUCUGGGGUAUCACCGCUCAAACAGGGCAAGCACCGAAUGACCCAGCUUUCGUGUCUUUGCAGGGGAAAAUGAAGCGUUUCAACAUGGGGCCAUAGUCUAAAGGGAGCAGGUGGGCAACCAGGCUUUUCCAAUGCAAUGUGGCGAGAUUGCCCUCGUCACAUGCAGUGUUUACAUUACAGCCUAGGGAUACCUCCACUGGCCACUCCUCAGAUGGCUAUUAGAGAUGCUUCACUGCCAUUCAGUGUCUCCACCCACUGCAUGGAGACUGAAAUUUCCUCAUCAAGAUGCAUGGAUUCAAUAGAGCUCUGCCCUGAACUGCCUCCUUGAGGGUCUCAGCCAAUCCUAUGGGGAAGUAUUGUGAUUGGCUCAGAACAACACUUCUGAUUAUGUCAGCCAAGUAGGCAGAUCGGGGCAGAGCCAGCAGCUGCAGACUUAAACAAAUUUAAGAGUUUACUAUAUUUAGGUGGGCAGAUGGUGGUUUUAACACUAUAAGGUCAAGAAUACACAUUUGUGUUCAAGACCCUUUAGUGUUCCUUUAAGGAUUCCUACCCACUAUUUUUUUCUUUAUAUUCAUUUUCAUACACCUAUUUUCACUUAUUGGUAAUAAUAUUUCUCUGACAUUUACAUCACUAUUGGUGAAGAUUAUAUUGACGUUUAAAUUUCUCUUAUCUCCAAACGAUUCCUACCGACCUUGACACUGUUGGCAUAUUUCCCCCAUCAACGAUAUAUUAAUUAUUUGUCUUGGAUUGCUAUCAUAACUUUAUUACUGUUAGACAUGUGUUAUACAUAGACUGGUAUAUAUUUGGACCAUGAUCAAUAAUCUGCAUGUGAUUUCUAAGAGUGAUACAUGCAUUUACUUUGAGGACAUCGCUUAUUACCUGGAUGAUCAGGUUUUCUGUCAACUGCAACCAGGGCCGUCUUUAAGGAGGGGCAAACGGGGCAGCUGCCCUGGGCCCAGUUACUCAUGGGGGGCCCAAGGCAGCUGCCCCGUGGGCCCCGUCGCCUGCAAUAAAAAUUUAUUUUUUUAAAAUAUUUCCCUACCUAAUGGGCCCGCGGUGCUAGUAUUGCGGCUGCACCGGGGACUGCACACUAAGGGGGCCCACCAGGUGGCCCAUACCUUUAGGGCCACCCAGUGAGCAUGUUCCAGCAGGGGUCCGGUCGGCACUGUGGCCCUUUAACAGCGCAACCGGGUCUUUGCUUAACGGCUGCAUGGGAGGAAGUGACGUCCGCGAAUCACUUCCUCCCACCUCAAAGACAUCGGGCCGCGCGGGAGGCUGCUAGCCAGGAUCCAGUGAGGAGGGGGAGCAAGGAGAGCCAGACCCCCAACUCCCAGCUACCCCAGCUAGCACACUGGACCCCAGGGAAGGAAGCCUCUUUCAAAGGUAGGAAACUGAAGAGUGUCUGUCUGUGUGUGCGUCAGUUUGUAUGUCUGUCUGUGUGUCAGUUUGUAUGUCUGUGUGUGUGUCAGUAUGUAUGUGUCAGUCAGUAUAUGUCUGUGUGUCAGUUUGUAUGUCUAUGUGUGUGUCAGUAUGUAUGUCUGUGUGUAUGUCAGUAUGUCUGUAUGUGUCAGUUUGUGUGUCUGUAUGUAUGUCGGUGUGCCAGUCAGUAUGUCUGUGUAUGUGUCAGUAUGUCUGUCUGUCACAGUGUCAGUAUGUCUGUCACAGUGUCUGUGUGUGUGUGUGUGUGUGUGUGUGUCGGUGUGUAUCUGUAUGUUGUCAGUAUGUAUGUAUCUGUGUGUGUGUGGCAGUGUGUAUACCUGUGCAUGUAUCUGUAUGUAGCCAAUGUGUGUAUCUGCAUGUUUGUCAGUGUUUGUAUCUGCAUUUGUCAGGUUAUGUAUCUGUGUGUCUGUAUGUUGUCAUUGUGUGUGUCUGUGUAUCUGUAUGUUGUCAGUGUAUCUGCGUGUGUGUGCGUGUGUGCAUCUGUGUGUCUGCAUGUGUGCCAGGUUGUGUGUCUGUAUGUGUGUGUGUCAGUGUGUGUAAAUGUGUCUGUAUAGCUGCAUCUGUAUGAUUGUGUAUAUCUGUGUAUCUGCAAGUGUUUCUGUGUGUGUAUGUGUAUCACAGUGUGUGUGUGUUUGUGACAGUGCAUGUGUAUUUGUGCAUACAUCUCAGCAUUCAACACUACACGCAAAUACACACCUGCAUUCAAACUUCAACACUACAUAUAAGCACACCUCUUUUUUUAAACAACAAAAUUAUAUAUAAACACACCAGUGUAUUCAUAAACCAACACUACACAUAAAUGCAUACUUGCAUUUAAAUGCCAUCUCCACAUACAAACACACCCCUACAUUCACACAAACAUACUCCAUACAAAAACAUGCUUACACUCAAACACACAAAUACUGCUCAGUGCUAAAUAUAACCCUGCAUGCAUGGGAAAAUGGUAGCGCCCCAGCUGUCAAAGCAUUGUUGGAGUUGCAUGACAGAUGGGGAUCUACCUUUUGCCCCCUCUUGCCCAAAAUAAUUCAUGCACCAGAGCCCUCUCUACUUUACGUCCGCCUCUGCGUUGGGGUGGGGGGCAUGAUUGCAUGCCAGGGAGGGGACGACCGGGUUCAGGGUGCCCAAGCAAAUGUUUGCCCAGGGUCCAAUCCAUAUUUAAGACGGCCCUGACUGCAAUUGUAGAUCCACAGGAAACAUAUAGGGAUCUAUAUGCAUGCAUAGUAUGAUUACCUUGUAAUGAAUGAUAUACAUAGUGACCACAUAACCUCAAGAUACAUUUGAGAUAGAAACACAUAUGUUUUUUUCUUGUAAUGCCUUAAGUCCCCCAGAGGACAAUUCCUGAUUUUUUUUUAAUGAAUUGGGUAUUAUCACAUAUCUUUCAACCUUGGGCUAUGGCACAUACUAUCCCAUCAUUUGAUUGAUGUCUCAUGAUGCCCACUAUAUAUAGCUAUGUGAUGUAUAUAUGAACAUUGUUCAUAAAGGAGAAAGAAGGGAAGUGAGAAAAGGAAAAAUAAUUUAUUUAUUUUGUGGGGGGGGGGGGUGGCAAAAUCAAGCAGUUUUCAUGUGACGAAGGUGCACAAAUGCACAUCGAACUUUACUUUAUCUCUUUCUUUAGCACUUUAGGGUAUCACUAAUAUGGUGUCCUUCUAGAAAGUUAACUUUUGUUUAUGGCUAUUCCUCCUAUGUUUCAAUAGUAGCUAUGCGUUAUUCCAUUAACAGCUAGGAUCUUGCGGAAAAGUAGGUCCCAGGUAAUACACCUGAAGACUGAGGUAUCGGUGAUGUCAUGUAACUAGGUAUUUGGAUCCUGUGUUUAAGUAGGUCCCCGGUGUAUACCUGCAGACUGAGGUAUUCCCAGAACUUUCAUCUAUGUUCUCUCUGCAUUAAUAUUUCGGAUUCUAUGGUUCAGUAGGUACCAGGCAAUUUACCUGGAGACUGAGAUAUCUGUGAUGUUAUUUGAUUAGGGAUAUAGGAUGUGGGCUAGCUUUAAAAUCUUAAGUAAAUUAUAAUAAGACUGGGAAUCUUUUCAUUUAAAGUAACACUAUUGGAUCAGGAACACAAACAUGUAUUCCUGGCCCUAUAAUGCUUUUUAGCCGCCCUACCCCCCUCCCAUUGUGCCCCUUAAAUAUAGCAAAAACACCUAAUUUCCAGCGCCCCCAAUCCACCUUCUUGGUUGACAUAAUCAGAAUUGGUGAUCUCAACCAAUCAUAAUGCUUUCCCAUAGGAAAGCAUUGGAUUGGCUGAGGUAAUUAACUUUGAUGAUCUCAGCCAAGGAGGCAGAGACGGAACCAAAUACAGCCCUGGUGAAUCAGCAUCUCCUUAUAGAGAUGCGUUGAUUCAAUGUACCUAUAUAGGGAAAGUUCAGGGUCUCCAUGCUCUAUCAGUGCUGCACACGUGCAUUACUGCUCCAAGAAGCACAUCUAGUGGCCAUAUGAGGAGUGAUCAGUAGAGAUAUUCCUAGGCUUGUAAUAUCCUCUGAAAAGGCGGUGUUUACAGCAAAAAGCUUGCAGGAACUUAUUAUACUAACCAGAACAACUACAAUAAGCUGUAUCCCUUGUGACUAUAGUGUUUCUAUAAGAUUGAGUACAUGAUACCAGAGAUAAUCUCUGUAAUACUAUUUUUCGUGGUAAUUAACUGACCCAUAUUUCUCUUUGUAAAUGCAAAUGAUAAUCUCCCCUACAUGAAAUGACCCCUACAUGAAAAAAGCUUCUUGAGUAGGGAGAUGAACCCUUUCUAAUCUUUAAAAUUUAAGAGAGUAUAACAUUUUUAUGUGUUUAUGUUGCGGAAUAUCUUGUACAUAAUUUGUAGCUACAGUGUUAGAAAGUCUUGUGUGGAAAGAAAUGCAAAAGAUAGAUAUAGAGUUGUAUUUUCUUAUAUAUUUGAAUGCAUUAUAAUGAAGGUGUGGCAAAACUAGACACUAGAGACUAUUAAUGUAUGAGUAUGUGUGCAUUCUUGCUAAGCCAUAAAGAUCACUGCAGGAUGCUAUUUGUAUUUCAGGCGAAUGAGGGCAUUCGGAUGCUGGCGGUAGGAAAACCCCAGCAUUCAUACUGUAGUUUCACGAACAGUGAGUUUAAACACUGUUCGUGAAAUGAAUAACAUACCGAAUGCACGACCACACACAGGGGGUCGUGUGGCGCCCAUUAACCGAUUGCAACAUUGUUGCAAUCGGUAAUUAAGUGUGCUUCUAGGUGGACGUCGUUCGACUACCGACCACGCGGCGGUCGGCCAUCUUGUUUCUUUUGUUAGCCCAGCGGUGUUUUGCCGUCGAGCGCCUGGAACUAAAAACGGCUACUCGACGGUGCGAACACCGCUGGACUUCCAGGCCGUUCGGGAACCCCGGCUGUUCGGUAGUUUAUCCCCCUUUUAAUAAUCUGUAUUUUAAACCUAUGUUAGAAAUAAUGUGUAUUUUGUGCGGCGUUCGGUUAGUUAGACUGGGAGCUGAGCGGUAUUCUCACGAACUGUGCGCUCAGCCUCCAGCUAUCUACCGAACGUCCAUUCGUGUAAAACAAGUGAAUAUUAGUAAAAUUAUACAUUUUAAUGUAAAAUGUAAGUUCUGCUGCACGGAGGGAUAAUCCCAUUAACGGUAUAUUCCAGUGGGAGUAUCCCUCUCGUCCAGCAGUGCAUGAUGGGAAAAAUUUAUGUGUUGGUCAGUUCCCCAAGUAGUCCCCUACUGUACAACCCCUGAAAUGUCAGUAGGGAAACCCAUUGCAUGGGGAAUCCCAUAAAUACCGUGACCUGAAAAUAAACCUCAGUUGACCUCCAAGCUAUGUGUCGUCUAGUUCUUGGGAGGAAGGGAUUGUAACUACGCUACCUGGAUUUUACCUGCUUUGUACCUGCUUAAUUCUGUCUACCAGUGGAGAUACCGUGGAUAAUACUACUACUCCGCUACAGAAGUGUUAUGCUCUAGGCCAGUUCUGGAUAGAAGUGUGUAAACUCGAAGUAGUUUCACCAACUUUUUUAACACUGUAGUUGUCCUUUAACAGAAGGUUUAAACAAUGAUUUCCAGCCAUAAUUAUUUUUCUUUUGAAUUGGGGUAGCCUGCUUCCAUACACAGACUGAUUAGCUUCCACCUAAUUAUAUAUGAUAAUAAUUUUGCUGAAUUUUAUACUAUUUAUGUAUUUUUCCCUCCAGAUUUACUUGGGAAACACUAUUCCAGAGUGGGCAUGGAUUUCCAUCUUUAACUUGACCUGUAGAGCCAUUCGUAAAAACUAUUUUGCCAACAUGAAAUAAAGAAGAUGGUCCUUCAGCAGAACAAGACAGAUUCUCUUGUCUUGGCUCUGCGUUGCUAAGUAGAUUUUGUUUAUCUACCCUCAAAAAUAAACUUGGUGAAUGUUAGACACCCC